rnacentral:lncRNA from 1 species
UUAUUUUAAUAAUUAUAAUAAUGUGAUUGAUAAUUGCUUUUCUUUCAUAAUUAAUUAUUAAAGUGCCUAAGCAAAGGGCCUUUGAUUGUAGCAGUCGAGGUUGUUUCCGUAGCUCACUUUCAAUAUGUCACAAUAUCUCUUAUAGAAUCCGAUUCGAUCCUCAACCUGAGGGUUAGGUCCUUUGCCGCAUUCGAUGCCACCAUUGAUGAUGUUGGUAAUGACCCCAUAUCCAGGGACCCGACCGGCGGCCGUGUCUCCGGCGGAUGGCUUCCACUGACCAGUAAUGACAUCGUGACACGAAGGUUUUGGUGACUGUGGUGUCAUCCAGAACCAAAGAGCUGUCUUGAAAGAAAUGGUCGGGUCCCUUGCCACCGCAUCGGGGUCGUUCAGCAGAUCAACGUUUAUUGCUUUUCCUGCUGGACCAUAGUUGUAGUUGCUGCCAAAGUCAAGGUCAAGGUCAAGUCAAGAUAUAGUAAGGAUUUUCAUUUUUCAACAAGCAAUUUUCCCCCCAUAUUCCCAGCUUUUUAAUCCUAUCAUAUUUUAUUAUUUUAAGGGUAAAAUAUGUUUUUAAAUUCAACGAACUUUCUAUUAAAAAGAUUAAACACACUAUGCUUAUGUUUGUGAUUAGUCAAUAGUUAUGCAUGGAAAAUGAAAACCAAAUGAGCUAUAUAUGCUUGUUGUUUAACAAAAAUGCCUUAAUAGUAAUUUUCUUGGGUCACAACUCUGAAUCUAGUUAAUUCACUCGAAACAAGUACACUUACAAUGAGAUCUGGAUUGGACCACGGCCAAAAUAUUUUUUACCCGGUGCACAAGGCCAUUGUUGACUUGCAACACAGUAAUCUCCAGGAUUGCCCUGUUCCCGAACGAAGCAAUAUCCCCAUGCGUAUGGACCAUCCGGUGCAGUUGCCCACCCACCUAUACAAGAAUUGUGAAGUACCCCUUUAAUUAUGCCGUCCAUUAACUAUUUGCCAACUAAAUAUUAAUGUCUGCCAACCAUUAACCACGCAUGCAAGACUAAAGUUAUGGAGAUAAUAGAGACAAUCAAGAAGUUAAUUUUUUUUAAUGAGAAAAAUGAACCUGUAGUUUCAUGGGAAGUUUGAGCCAAGAACGCAGCAAUUUCUCUUUUACGAGUAUCAACAUCGCCUGUGGUUCCGAAAGCGCCAAAGGAGUUGGCAGCGGCAAUGAAAGCAUCGUAUGUAUAGAAACCAUUGCCAGGGCAGUUAGCAUCGUUACGAUGCUUUAAUAUCUCAUUGAACAGGUCGCGGCUGAUAAGCGGACUGAUAUCAGCCAAGCCCCUUAAUGCAGAUGCCAAAACGAACAGAAUCAGAGCCAAGAACCUCAUUUUUUUUUUCUGCUUGGCUAGCUACUGAAGUGUUUUACGCGUGGGAUGUGGAGUCCCAUGUGAAGGAUCAGGCUGGUAUUUAUAGAGUGGGUCAGGAGAGAGAGAGAUCCUAACAAAACCUUAUUCUUCUUAAUAUUCUAGAGACGAAGGCGGCCUUUAUCUGUUAGGCUAAAAACCUCCAAUCCAAUCACACCAGCGGAAACGAAAUCAAACAAUAAAAUCAAACAGACAAGAGACAACAAUUUAACGUGGUUCGGUCCAACUGACCUAUAUUUACGGAUGAGAAACAAGAUUCACUAGUUGUAGAGAAUUACAAACUGACAUCAAAUCAUCAACCUCACUCAACAAUCAAUACUCAUAAGAUACUUUCAGUCUCCUCUAGUCCUAUUAAGUAUUCUCAAUCCAAACAAACCCAAACCCAAACCCAAACCCUUGUGCACCCUUUCAACAUAACCAAACACAUAACCAUAUGCUCCCAUACAUCAUACCUAUGUGGACCCUCUCAGUCUCCUUUAGUCCACUCAUAAAUAAACAUACACACCCAUAAGACGUAGAGCCCCAAUAUUUCUAUGGGGUGUCUAUCCCACAAAAUCCUAUAGCUCUCUUACAUCUUUUUCUCAUACCUAACCCUGUAGAGACUUCACGUAUUUAUAACCAUGCAAACUUGCCCAUUAAGAAUCACUCUCCCUCUUAGAAUUCUUCUCCUGUAAGUCAAACUUGCCUAUUAAGAAUCCAUUUCCUUUUAGAAUUUUUCUCUUCUCUUGCAAGUCAAACUUACCUAUUAAGAAUCUUUUUUCUCUUAUAAUUAUUCUUUUGCAAGUCUUCUUGUCCAUCAAGCAAUAUCUGAAAAAUCUCAAACAAAUCGCAAACAAAUCUCUUACGAGAUUUGAGUCAUUAUUCCCAACAUUAUCAUCACAAAGUAGAAGUAUGAUGAUUGCUUGAAAGCUUGUAUACCUGACAAAUAUGAGAAAGGGCGAACAGGUAUCGUUCUUGGACCGUUUUCUUAGUCCAAGCUUAUCUUGACAUGACUUAACCAAGUUGGAAUAAGUUGAAAUUCCAUUUUGUUAGAAUUCAUAUGUUUUUGUCUCUGCAAGUGGCGUUGAUUGCAGAGAAAAUAUUCAAGCUGAGCAGCCCGAAAAAAGAAAACAAAUCUUAUCCUUGUCAGAUUACAAAAUUAAGAAAUAACAUGCAAAAACCUAGAUAGCUACGGAAGUACUUGAAGAAAAUGAGGCAGAGCAUCCAUUUUGGGAUAUACUUGAAGCUGGCCGGAUGAGUUUUAACACUAGUUCGACCGAUCUCUCCCUUACGAUAAUCUCCAAAUCCUGUUUUUAGAAUUAUAGAGCAAUUUUUUUUCAUAUUACUGUUUAGUAGUAAACAAAUUAAACAUAAAAAGGCCAAAAGUUUUUCAAUUUAUAUAUCUUCAACCAUCCGAUUCUUUUAGUAAUUGCUUCAUAAGAUAAUGGACAAGUUAGAAGAAAUAACUACAUAUACAGAAUAAGAUUUCUUCAAUUGAGAGUUGAAACAGAGAAUAUCAAAAUUAGUAGGGUUAAUGUGUGAUUGAGCCCUUGAACUAUAUUAUUUCUUAUGAUUUUAUACAUAAAAUCUAUAUAUAAAAAUUCGACCUCCAAAAGUAUUAAUAGCGAUAAACUUAAAUACCCCUAUAAAUUUUUAAAUUAACAAAUUCAUCCUUAAAUAUAUAGCUUUUAUUAAUUUAUUUAAAUUUAAUUUAAAUCAACUAAAUUUUCAAAUAGAGUUUAUAUAAAAUUAAACUACUUAGAAUAUUUAAAUUUUAAUUUCAAAAGUGUUACAAGUUAUUGUCUAAAUAUUUUUAGUAAAUAUUUUUAUAAAGUCUAAUAUAAAUAAAUUUUUUUAUUACUAGACUUCUUUUUAUAAUUAGACUUAAAAAGUGUUAAAAAUAAUUGAUUAAAAUACCAUGGGUAAUUUUUUUUUAUAAAUUUUAAUUUAAAUGACUUUUUUAUUAAUUGACUUUUUUUUUAUAAGUACAACGAUUUAUCACAUUAAAUGAAAAUAUAAAUAAAAUGAGAUUAAAACUUACUGUGAAUAAGAAUAAACAAUUAUAUAGAUUUUAUUUAUUUAAUUGUUGUACAAACAAUUUUAUAUAUAUAUAUAUAUAUAGUUUAUAUUGAUAACUAAAUUAAUUAAAAAUACUCAUAUUAAGUAGUUGAAGUGUAUUUGUUUUCUUCUUUUUUAUUUUUACCUUUCAAUUUUUUGUUCCAAUAUGUUAACUAUAUAUGUAUAUUAGUGAUUUUAUUAUUUAUAUGUUUUAUGAGUUGAUCAUUUAAUGAUUGAUAAUAUAAUUAAAUCUUUUUAGUCCCAUGAAAUAAUUCUUUAAUAUAUCAUUUUUACAAUUUAGUUUGACAUCUAUAAUUAAUGUCUCUUUUGUAUUUUUUAUCUCUAGAAUUUUAUAAUUAUUAUUCUUAUGAAUCAAAAUUAAUAUCAAAUCAAAUGCAAAUCAAUUACAUCAUCUCUACCAACAAUUAACAUUAUGUGAUUCAUUGAACAUUUUAAUUAGACUUUUCACAUUUAGAAUUAGAUGAUUCAGGAGGUUGCACAGCUACUAAUAACUCAAGAUUGGAUAUAUGUCAUAAGAAUUCGAUCCGUUAAAUUGUCAUAUAAAUUAUUCACCUUGAUUGAAACAAUAAUUGACAAUUUUCUCUCAACUCUCAUCUUAACAUGCAUAUAUAUGACUAAUUUAUAUCUUAAGAUUAUUUAAUCUUUCUCAAUUGUAUUAAAUUACUUGCUUUUUUUUUUUUUUUGCCAUCCAAGUGGUUAAAUAACCUCACAUGAAUUAUUCUAAACAAAAAAUUAUCAAAUGAAGUAAAAUUAAUCGUUUUUAGUAAAUUAUUUUGAAGUGUGACAAAAUUCAUUGGAAUUAUUUUUUUGAAAGUGUUUAUGCCAAAAUUAUAUUCAUUUGUGAACAUUUAUGUUGUUAAUACUGAAAAAUGAUAUCAUUAUAAAUUAUAUAGGUAUUACAUAGCAAGUUUAUUAUUUUUAGAAAUGAAAAUUUCUUAAGAAAACAUGACAAGUACCAAGAUUAGGAAUGUAUUUUAUUUUAGUUUUUAAAAUUAUGUAUUUUAAUAUUUUUAUAUAGUAAAAAUUUAUGUGUAAUAAAAUUUUUAGAUAAAAAAAUUAAACUUUCAGUUGAUAGAACAUAAAACUACAUUCAAUUGAUGGAAGUAUCUAUGGAAGAUUAUUGUAAGCUGAAAAAAUUAGACAAAAAAUUGAUAGGAUGUGCAUAACUUUAUUUUUUUCAUAUGACGAAAAAAGUUAAUGCUAUAUGUUGUUCCAAUAUGAAACUCUUUUAUUUGGAGAAAUAUUGUGUACUCUAUUAUUUUCUCUUUUAUAUCAGUUGACGAAUGUUCGCUGUUAUAUCAAAAUUUUUAAAGUUGCCAUAUUAGGUAAUAUUUGUUCAAAAAAAUUGAAAUUCAUCAAGUUAAUUAUCACUUUACAUUUAAAAUAAAAAAUUAUUAUAAAUUAUAAUUUAACUAAACUUAAAAGUGAUUUAAAGGCAUUUAUUAGCAAAAUUCAUUCGAUAAAUCUUUAUUUAAUUAUGCAUUUAGUAUUUCAAUUAUUUUGAAUUUUGAAUUUUUAUAAUUUUGAGUUAGAUUUUAGACUUUUGAUUAGCUCCCAAUUAGGUUGAAUCAAGUUUUAUUAUUUACUUUUAUUCAUAGUAUACUCAAUUAUUCGCUUAUAAACCUGAACAAAUUUAACUUCAUAAUUGUUAUAUACUUCUUUUUGUUUAAAAAACUAGAUUUAUAUCAUUAUAAAUUUAAAUAAAAAAAGUAUAUUCAAUUACUUAUAAUUGUAGUUUCACUUUAGAAAUAAUCUUGAAAUUAAUUAACUAAUUCAACUAUAGAGACAAUAAAAAUUAACCGUUGAAGAUGAAGGGAAAAAACCUUAAAUAAGAAACUUUUAAAUUGUUAUGGAAGAUGAAUAAUUAAUUUUGGAUUUUGAUUGGGUUACUAUUUCAAUUCAAAUUUUGUUUAUAUUCAAUCAUUUUGGGUUUUAAAAAACUACUAAGUUGUUAACUUUUUAAAAUCAAUUGAAAUCAAAUGAAGUUAGUUUAUUUUUACAAUUAUAUGUAUAUUAUUUUUAAUUAAAUUAAAAAAUUAAAAUGAGUAAAAAUUUAAUUUCUAUUCUAUUUUAAUUUUAAAUUAUUUCAAGUUUGAGUUGAUUAAUCAAUGUUAUUUUAGUUAUACUUUUAUAAUAAUGGUAAUAAAUUUCAAAAUAUAAUGAUAACAUAACACAAUAAUAAUUUAAAUGUAAAAGUGAUGGAGAUUCUAUUGAUAAUUUUAGAAAAAAAAAAAAUCUUUAUAUCCAAGUUUUACAGAGAUUAAAUUAUGUAUCUUUUUUUGAGAAAUUUUAAAUUUAUAUUACAAAAAUGUUAAUCUAGAUCAACGUGUUUAUAAUCAUUUAUUUGUUAAUCAAGUUAUUGCUAUAAGAGUUGAGGAAAAUAAUUCAAAACUUGCAAAUGAAAGAGAUCAUAUCAUAAUUCAAACUCAAGCAUGAAGACAACAUAAAAUUAAACAUUAUUUGGGUUAUUAUGUCCCCAUAUAAUAUUCUUUACUCUUUCCAAGUGAAGAAGUUAAUUGCCAUCAAAACAUCAAAAGAGUUAUUUUGAAUAAUAAUAAUAAUAAGAAUGACACAACAAUUAAAAAUAUAUAAUCUUUUGAUUUAUUAGAAGAAAUUUUUUAUGAAAAAUGUGAAAUAUUCUUUACUUUUUCCAAAUUGAGAUGUUGAUUAGCAUCAAAAUAUUAAAAAAAAAAAAGUUAUUUUGAAUGAUAGUAAUAUGAAUGAAGCAACAAUUAAAAAUAUAUCAUCUUUUUAUUUAAUAGAAGAAAUUUUUUAUAGAGAAUAUGAGAAAAUGAGAAAAUUAGCCACAAUCUCUAUAAAUUUUUUUGUAUGAUUAACUAUGGUUUAAAUAUUAUUUAAAAGAAAUAAAUUAUAUUUAAUGCAUUCUUUUAUUAAUAUUUAAAAGAAGACAACACAUUAAUUAUAUUUUUAAAAUAUAUAUUAUUUUAUUCCGUAUCAUUAAACCAAUCUUUUAAUGCAUAAAAAAAGGGACCAAUCUCUUAAAUGAAGUCGAAGAAAUUAUUGUACUUUUAUGUUAGCAAGGAGUUUCAAAGAAAGGGACUUUUUUUUUUUUUUUUUUUUUUUAAGGAAAAUGGGAUUUAGAUAUUCUAAUUAGCAUAAAUUAUGCGAUAAAAAUAUAAUAUACUAAAAAAUAAAAUUUAUGAUUAUUUUUAAAAUUUUAAAUUUGUUAAAACUUUAUUUAAUUAACGAUGAAUUUGAAAUUCUAAACAAAUAAAGAGAAACUCAAACCAAUUUUCUUUUAAUAUAUUAUCUGUAAGACAUAAGUAUAUUGAAUUUUAACUAAAUUUCACAAUUUUUAAUUUUUCAUUUUCGUAAUUUGUAAAUAUACAUAUCAAACCAUAUAUUUAAUCUGUCAAUAAACAUGGCAUAAGUGGAUUUUAUGUUAUAUUUUGACUUAGUCGUGUUGGAAACCCUUUCUUCAAAAAUAAAUAUUUGUUAAUGAAGUCUUGAUUUAAUGAUAAGAAAAAAAAAUCUUAAAAUUUGAAGUUUUAAAUUUAAGUCUUUCUAUUUUAAUUGUAUAUUAAUUUAUUAAUUAAUUGUUUAAUAAUUACAACAUAAAAAAAACUAAGAGAAUUAACACAUCAUAUCACCAAAAUAUUGAUCACCAAUUAAGGACGAGCUCCUUUUAUUUAUUGAUAUUGAUAUUAUUCCAGAUCAACAUGGUAAAUAUCUCACAUACAUAUAUGAUGAUAUAUAUGUACUAGCAGCGGAUUUUUUUUUAUUUUAAUAAUUAUAAUAAUGUGAUUGAUAAUUGCUUUUCUUUCAUAAUUAAUUAUUAAAGUGCCUAAGCAAAGGGCCUUUGAUUGUAGCAGUCGAGGUUGUUUCCGUAGCUCACUUUCAAUAUGUCACAAUAUCUCUUAUAGAAUCCGAUUCGAUCCUCAACCUGAGGGUUAGGUCCUUUGCCGCAUUCGAUGCCACCAUUGAUGAUGUUGGUAAUGACCCCAUAUCCAGGGACCCGACCGGCGGCCGUGUCUCCGGCGGAUGGCUUCCACUGACCAGUAAUGACAUCGUUGACACGAAGGUUUUGGUGACUGUGGUGUCAUCCAGAACCAAAGAGCUGUCUUGAAAGAAAUGGUCGGGUCCCUUGCCACCGCAUCGGGGUCGUUCAGCAGAUCAACGUUUAUUGCUUUUCCUGCUGGACCAUAGUUGUAGUUGCUGCCAAAGUCAAGGUCAAGGUCAAGUCAAGAUAUAGUAAGGAUUUUCAUUUUUCAACAAGCAAUUUUCCCCCCAUAUUCCCAGCUUUUUAAUCCUAUCAUAUUUUAUUAUUUUAAGGGUAAAAUAUGUUUUUAAAUUCAACGAACUUUCUAUUAAAAAGAUUAAACACACUAUGCUUAUGUUUGUGAUUAGUCAAUAGUUAUGCAUGGAAAAUGAAAACCAAAUGAGCUAUAUAUGCUUGUUGUUUAACAAAAAUGCCUUAAUAGUAAUUUUCUUGGGUCAGAACUCUGAAUCUAGUUAAUUCACUCGAAACAAGUACACUUACAAUGAGAUCUGGAUUGGACCACGGCCAAAAUAUUUUUUACCCGGUGCACAAGGCCAUUGUUGACUUGCAACACAGUAAUCUCCAGGAUUGCCCUGUUCCCGAACGAAGCAAUAUCCCCAUGCGUAUGGACCAUCCGGUGCAGUUGCCCACCCACCUAUACAAGAAUUGUGAAGUACCCCUUUAAUUAUGCCGUCCAUUAACUAUUUGCCAACUAAAUAUUAAUGUCUGCCAACCAUUAACCACGCAUGCAAGACUAAAGUUAUGGAGAUAAUAGAGACAAUCAAGAAGUUAAUUUUUUUAAUGAGAAAAAUGAACCUGUAGUUUCAUGGGAAGUUUGAGCCAAGAACGCAGCAAUUUCUCUUUUACGAGUAUCAACAUCGCCUGUGGUUCCGAAAGCGCCAAAGGAGUUGGCAGCGGCAAUGAAAGCAUCGUAUGUAUAGAAACCAUUGCCAGGGCAGUUAGCAUCGUUACGAUGCUUUAAUAUCUCAUUGAACAGGUCGCGGCUGAUAAGCGGACUGAUAUCAGCCAAGCCCCUUAAUGCAGAUGCCAAAACGAACAGAAUCAGAGCCAAGAACCUCAUUUUUUUUUUCUGCUUGGCUAGCUACUGAAGUGUUUUACGCGUGGGAUGUGGAGUCCCAUGUGAAGGAUCAGGCUGGUAUUUAUAGAGUGGGUCAGGAGAGAGAGAGAUCCUAACAAAACCUUAUUCUUCUUAAUAUUCUAGAGACGAAGGCGGCCUUUAUCUGUUAGGCUAAAAACCUCCAAUCCAAUCACACCAGCGGAAACGAAAUCAAACAAUAAAAUCAAACAGACAAGAGACAACAAUUUAACGUGGUUCGGUCCAACUGACCUAUAUUACGGAUGAGAAACAAGAUUCACUAGUUGUAGAGAAUUACAAACUGACAUCAAAUCAUCAACCUCACUCAACAAUCAAUACUCAUAAGAUACUUUCAGUCUCCUCUAGUCCUAUUAAGUAUUCUCAAUCCAAACAAACCCAAACCCAAACCCAAACCCUUGUGCACCCUUUCAACAUAACCAAACACAUAACCAUAUGCUCCCAUACAUCAUACCUAUGUGGACCCUCUCAGUCUCCUUUAGUCCACUCAUAAAUAAACAUACACACCCAUAAGACGUAGAGCCCCAAUAUUUCUAUGGGGUGUCUAUCCCACAAAAUCCUAUAGCUCUCUUACAUCUUUUUCUCAUACCUAACCCUGUAGAGACUUCACGUAUUUAUAACCAUGCAAACUUGCCCAUUAAGAAUCACUCUCCUCUUAGAAUUCUUCUCCUGUAAGUCAAACUUGCCUAUUAAGAAUCCAUUCCUUUUAGAAUUUUCUCUUCUCUUGCAAGUCAAACUUACCUAUUAAGAAUCUUUUUCUCUUAUAAUUAUUCUUUUGCAAGUCUUCUUGUCCAUCAAGCAAUAUCUGAAAAAUCUCAAACAAAUCGCAAACAAAUCUCUUACGAGAUUUGAGUCAUUAUUCCCAACAUUAUCAUCACAAAGUAGAAGUAUGAUGAUUGCUUGAAAGCUUGUAUACCUGACAAAUAUGAGAAAGGGCGAACAGGUAUCGUUCUUGGACCGUUUUCUUAGUCCAAGCUUAUCUUGACAUGACUUAACCAAGUUGGAAUAAGUUGAAAUUCCAUUUUGUUAGAAUUCAUAUGUUUUUGUCUCUGCAAGUGGCGUUGAUUGCAGAGAAAAUAUUCAAGCUGAGCAGCCCGAAAAAAGAAAACAAAUCUUAUCCUUGUCAGAUUACAAAAUUAAGAAAUAACAUGCAAAAACCUAGAUAGCUACGGAAGUACUUGAAGAAAUGAGGCCAGAGCAUCCAUUUUGGAUAUACUUGAAGCAUGGCCAGAUGAGUUUAACCCUGUUCGACCGAUUUUUUUUCUUACCCUUUUACGAUAAUCUCCAAAUCCUGUUUUUAGAAUUAUUAAGCAAUUUUUUUUCAUAUUACUGUUUAGAGUAAACAAAUUAAACUAUAAAAAGGUCCAAAGUUUUUCCCAUUGUACUUAUUAUCUUCAACCAUCCGAUUCUUUUAGUAAGUGCUUCAUAAGAUAAUGGACAAGUUAGAAGAAAUAACUACAUAUACAGAGAAUAAGAUUUCUUCAAUGAGAGUUGAAACAGAGAAUAUCAAAAUAGUGGGUUAAUGUGGAUUUGAGCCCUUUGAACUAUAUUUAUCUUUUGAUAUUUAUACAUAAAUCGUAUAUAUAAAAAUUCGACCUCCAAAAGUAUUAAUAGCGAUAAACUUAAAUACCCUAUAAAUUUUUAAAUUAACAAAUUCAUCCUAAAUAUAUAGCUUUUAUUAAUUUAUUUAAAUUUAAUUUAAAUCAACUAAAUUUUCAAAUAGAGUUUAUAUAAAAUUAAACUACUUAGAAUAUUUAAAUUUUAAUUUCAAAAGUGUUACAAGUUAUUGUCUAAAUAUUUUUUAGUAAAUAUUUUUAUAAAGUCUAAUAUAAAUAAAUUUUUUAUUACUAGACUUCUUUUAUAAUUAGACUUAAAAAGUGUUAAAAAUAAUUGAUUAAAAAUACCAUGGGUAAUUUUUUUUAUAAAUUUUAAUUUAAAUGACUUUUUUAUUAAUUGACUUUUUUUUUUAUAAGUACAACGAUUUAUCACAUUAAAUGAAAAUAUAAAUAAAAUGAGAUUAAAACUUACUGUGAAUAAGAAUAAACAAUUAUAUAGAUUUUAUUUAUUUAAUUGUUGUACAAACAAUUUUAUAUAUAUAUAUAUAUAUAGUUUAUAUUGAUAACUAAAUUAAUUAAAAAUACUCAUAUUAAGUAGUUGAAGUGUAUUUGUUUUCUUCUUUUUUAUUUUUACCUUUCAAUUUUUUGUUCCAAUAUGUUAACUAUAUAUGUAUAUUAGUGAUUUUAUUAUUUAUAUGUUUUAUGAGUUGAUCAUUUAAUGAUUGAUAAUAUAAUUAAAUCUUUUUAGUCCCAUGAAAUAAUUCUUUAAUAUAUCAUUUUUACAAUUUAGUUUGACAUCUAUAAUUAAUGUCUCUUUUGUAUUUUUAUCUCUAGAAUUUUAUAAUUAUUAUUCUUAUGAAUCAAAAUUAAUAUCAAAUCAAAUGCAAAUCAAUUGCAUCAUCUCUACCAACAAUUAACAUUAUGUGAUUCAUUGAACAUUUUAAUUAGACUUUUCACAUUUAGAAUUAGAUGAUUCAGGAGGUUGCACAGCUACUAAUAACUCAAGAUUGGAUAUAUGUCAUAAGAAUUCGAUCCGUUAAAUUGUCAUAUAAAUUAUUCACCUUGAUUGAAACAAUAAUUGACAAUUUUCUCUCAACUCUCAUCUUAACAUGCAUAUAUAUGACUAAUUUAUAUCUUAAGAUUAUUUAAUCUUUCUCAAUUGUAUUAAAUUACUUGCUUUUUUUUUUUUUUUUUGCCAUCCAAGUGGUUAAAUAACCUCACAUGAAUUAUUCUAAACAAAAAAUUAUCAAAUGAAGUAAAAUUAAUCGUUUUUAGUAAAUUAUUUUGAAGUGUGACAAAAUUCAUUGGAAUUAUUUUUUUGAAAGUGUUUAUGCCAAAAUUAUAUUCAUUUGUGAACAUUUAUGUUGUUAAUACUGAAAAAUGAUAUCAUUAUAAAUUAUAUAGGUAUUACAUAGCAAGUUUAUUAUUUUUAGAAAUGAAAAUUUCUUAAGAAAACAUGACAAGUACCAAGAUUAGGAAUGUAUUUUAUUUUAGUUUUUAAAAUUAUGUAUUUUAAUAUUUUAUAUAGUAAAAAUUAUGUGUAAUAAAAUUUUUAGAUAAAAAAAUUAAACUUUCAGUUGAUAGAACAUAAAACUACAUUCAAUUGAUGGAAGUAUCUAUGGGAAGAUUAUUGUAAGCUGAAAAAUUAGACAAAAAAUUGAUAGGAUGUGCAUAACUUUAUUUUUUCAUAUGACGAAAAAAGUUAAUGCUAUAUGUUGUUCCAAUAUGAAACUCUUUUAUUUGGAGAAAUAUUGUGUACUCUAUUAUUUUCUCUUUUAUAUCAGUUGACGAAUGUUCGCUGUUAUAUCAAAAUUUUUUAAAGUUGCCAUAUUAGGUAAUAUUUGUUCAAAAAAAUUGAAAUUCAUCAAGUUAAUUAUCACUUUACAUUUAAAAUAAAAAAUUAUUAUAAAUUAUAAUUUAACUAAACUUAAAAGUGAUUUAAAGGCAUUUAUUAGCAAAAUUCAUUCGAUAAAUCUUUAUUUAAUUAUGCAUUUAGUAUUUCAAUUAUUUUGAAUUUUGAAUUUUUAUAAUUUUGAGUUAGAUUUUAGACUUUUGAUUAGCUCCCAAUUAGGUUGAAUCAAGUUUUAUUAUUUACUUUUAUUCAUAGUAUACUCAAUUAUUCGCUUAUAAACCUGAACAAAUUUAACUUCAUAAUUGUUAUAUACUUCUUUUUGUUUAAAAAACUAGAUUUAUAUCAUUAUAAUUUAAAUAAAAAAGUAUAUUCAAUUACUUAUAAUUGUAGUUUCACUUUAGAAAUAAUCUUGAAAUUAAUUAACUAAUUCAACUAUAGAGACAAUAAAAAUUAACCGUUGAAGAUGAAGGGAAAAAACCUUAAAUAAGAAACUUUUAAAUUGUUUAUGGAAGAUGAAUAAUUAAUUUUGGAUUUUGAUUGGGUUACUAUUUCAAUUCAAAUUUUGUUUAUAUUCAAUCAUUUUGGGUUUUAAAAAACUACUAAGUUGUUAACUUUUUAAAAUCAAUUGAAAUCAAAUGAAGUUAGUUUAUUUUUACAAUUAUAUGUAUAUUAUUUUAAUUAAAUUAAAAAAUUAAAAUGAGUAAAAUUUAAUUUCUAUUCUAUUUUAAUUUUAAAUUAUUUCAAGUUUGAGUUGAUUAAUCAAUGUUAUUUUAGUUAUACUUUUAUAAUAAUGGUAAUAAAUUUCAAAAUAUAAUGAUAACAUAACACAAUAAUAAUUUAAAUGUAAAAGUGAUGGAGAUUCUAUUGAUAAUUUUAGAAAAAAAAAAAAUCUUUAUAUCCAAGUUUUACAGAGAUUAAAUUAUGUAUCUUUUUUGAGAAUUUUAAAUUUAUAUUACAAAAAUGUUAAUCUAGAUCAACGUGUUUAUAAUCAUUUAUUUGUUAAUCAAGUUAUUGCUAUAAGAGUUGAGGAAAAUAAUUCAAAACUUGCAAAUGAAAGAGAUCAUAUCAUAAUUCAACUCAAGCAUGAAGACAACAUAAAAUUAAACAUUAUUUGGGUUAUUAUGUCCCCAUAUAAUAUUCUUUACUCUUUCCAAGUGAAGAAGUUAAUUGCCAUCAAAACAUCAAAGAGUUAUUUUGAAUAAUAAUAAUAAGAAUGACACAACAAUUAAAAAUAUAUAAUCUUUUGAUUUAUUAGAAGAAAUUUUUUAUGAAAAAUGUGAAAUAUUCUUUACUUUUUCCAAAUUGAGAUGUUGAUUAGCAUCAAAAUAUUAAAAAAAAAAAGUUAUUUUGAAUGAUAGUAAUAUGAAUGAAGCAACAAUUAAAAAUAUAUCAUCUUUUUAUUUAAUAGAAGAAAUUUUUUAUAGAGAAUAUGAGAAAAUGAGAAAAUUAGCCACAAUCUCUAUAAAUUUUUUUGUAUGAUUAACUAUGGUUUAAAUAUUAUUUAAAAGAAAUAAAUUAUAUUUAAUGCAUUCUUUUAUUAAUAUUUAAAAGAAGACAACACAUUAAUUAUAUUUUUAAAAUAUAUAUUAUUUUAUUCCGUAUCAUUAAACCAAUCUUUUAAUGCAUAAAAAAAGGGACCAAUCUCUUAAUGAAGUCGAAGAAAUUAUUGUACUUUUAUGUUAGCAAGGAAGUUUCAAAGAAAGGGACUUUUUUUUUUUUUUUUUUUUUAAGGAAAAUGGGAUUUAGAUAUUCUAAAUUAGCAUAAAUUAUGCGAUAAAAAUAUAAUAUACUAAAAAAUAAAAUUUAUGAUUAUUUUUAAAAUUUUAAAAUUUGUUAAAACUUUAUUUAAUUAACGAUGAAUUUGAAAUUUCUAAACAAAAUAAAGAGAAACUCAAACCAAUUUUCUUUUAAUAUAUUAUCUGUAAGACAUAAGUAUAUUGAAUUUUAACUAAAUUUCACAAUUUUUAAUUUUUCAUUUUCGUAAUUUGUAAAUAUACAUAUCAAACCAUAUAUUUAAUCUGUCAAUAAACAUGGCAUAAGUGGAUUUUAUGUUAUAUUUUGACUUAGUCGUGUUGGAAACCCUUUCUUCAAAAAUAAAUAUUUGUUAAUGAAGUCUUGAUUUAAUGAUAAGAAAAAAAAAUCUUAAAAUUUGAAGUUUUAAAUUUAAGUCUUUCUAUUUUAAUUGUAUAUUAAUUUAUUAAUUAAUUGUUUAAUAAUUACAACAUAAAAAAAAACUAAGAGAAUUAACACAUCAUAUCACCAAAAUAUUGAUCACCAAAUUAAGGACGAGCUCCUUUUAUUUAUUGAUAUUGAUAUUAUUCCAGAUCAACAUGGUAAAUAUCUCACAUACAUAUAUGAUGAUAUAUAUGUACUAGCAGCGGAUUUUUUUUUUAUUUUAAUAAUUAUAAUAAUGUGAUUGAUAAUUGCUUUUCUUUCAUAAUUAAUUAUUAAAGUGCCUAAGCAAAGGGCCUUUGAUUGUAGCAGUCGAGGUUGUUUCCGUAGCUCACUUUCAAUAUGUCACAAUAUCUCUUAUAGAAUCCGAUUCGAUCCUCAACCUGAGGGUUAGGUCCUUUGCCGCAUUCGAUGCCACCAUUGAUGAUGUUGGUAAUGACCCCAUAUCCAGGGACCCGACCGGCGGCCGUGUCUCCGGCGGAUGGCUUCCACUGACCAGUAAUGACAUCGUGACACGAAGGUUUUGGUGACUGUGGUGUCAUCCAGAACCAAAGAGCUGUCUUGAAAGAAAUGGUCGGGUCCCUUGCCACCGCAUCGGGGUCGUUCAGCAGAUCAACGUUUAUUGCUUUUCCUGCUGGACCAUAGUUGUAGUUGCUGCCAAAGUCAAGGUCAAGGUCAAGUCAAGAUAUAGUAAGGAUUUUCAUUUUUCAACAAGCAAUUUUCCCCCCAUAUUCCCAGCUUUUUAAUCCUAUCAUAUUUUAUUAUUUUAAGGGUAAAAUAUGUUUUUAAAUUCAACGAACUUUCUAUUAAAAAGAUUAAACACACUAUGCUUAUGUUUGUGAUUAGUCAAUAGUUAUGCAUGGAAAAUGAAAACCAAAUGAGCUAUAUAUGCUUGUUGUUUAACAAAAAUGCCUUAAUAGUAAUUUUCUUGGGUCAGAACUCUGAAUCUAGUUAAUUCACUCGAAACAAGUACACUUACAAUGAGAUCUGGAUUGGACCACGGCCAAAAUAUUUUUUACCCGGUGCACAAGGCCAUUGUUGACUUGCAACACAGUAAUCUCCAGGAUUGCCCUGUUCCCGAACGAAGCAAUAUCCCCAUGCGUAUGGACCAUCCGGUGCAGUUGCCCACCCACCUAUACAAGAAUUGUGAAGUACCCCUUUAAUUAUGCCGUCCAUUAACUAUUUGCCAACUAAAUAUUAAUGUCUGCCAACCAUUAACCACGCAUGCAAGACUAAAGUUAUGGAGAUAAUAGAGACAAUCAAGAAGUUAAUUUUUUUUAAUGAGAAAAAUGAACCUGUAGUUUCAUGGGAAGUUUGAGCCAAGAACGCAGCAAUUUCUCUUUUACGAGUAUCAACAUCGCCUGUGGUUCCGAAAGCGCCAAAGGAGUUGGCAGCGGCAAUGAAAGCAUCGUAUGUAUAGAAACCAUUGCCAGGGCAGUUAGCAUCGUUACGAUGCUUUAAUAUCUCAUUGAACAGGUCGCGGCUGAUAAGCGGACUGAUAUCAGCCAAGCCCCUUAAUGCAGAUGCCAAAACGAACAGAAUCAGAGCCAAGAACCUCAUUUUUUUUUUCUGCUUGGCUAGCUACUGAAGUGUUUUACGCGUGGGAUGUGGAGUCCCAUGUGAAGGAUCAGGCUGGUAUUUAUAGAGUGGGUCAGGAGAGAGAGAGAUCCUAACAAAACCUUAUUCUUCUUAAUAUUCUAGAGACGAAGGCGGCCUUUAUCUGUUAGGCUAAAAACCUCCAAUCCAAUCACACCAGCGGAAACGAAAUCAAACAAUAAAAUCAAACAGACAAGAGACAACAAUUUAACGUGGUUCGGUCCAACUGACCUAUAUUUACGGAUGAGAAACAAGAUUCACUAGUUGUAGAGAAUUACAAACUGACAUCAAAUCAUCAACCUCACUCAACAAUCAAUACUCAUAAGAUACUUUCAGUCUCCUCUAGUCCUAUUAAGUAUUCUCAAUCCAAACAAACCCAAACCCAAACCCAAACCCUUGUGCACCCUUUCAACAUAACCAAACACAUAACCAUAUGCUCCCAUACAUCAUACCUAUGUGGACCCUCUCAGUCUCCUUUAGUCCACUCAUAAAUAAACAUACACACCCAUAAGACGUAGAGCCCCAAUAUUUCUAUGGGGUGUCUAUCCCACAAAAUCCUAUAGCUCUCUUACAUCUUUUUCUCAUACCUAACCCUGUAGAGACUUCACGUAUUUAUAACCAUGCAAACUUGCCCAUUAAGAAUCACUCUCCUCUUAGAAUUCUUCUCCUGUAAGUCAAACUUGCCUAUUAAGAAUCCAUUUCCUUUUAGAAUUUUUCUCUUCUCUUGCAAGUCAAACUUACCUAUUAAGAAUCUUUUUUCUCUUAUAAUUAUUCUUUUGCAAGUCUUCUUGUCCAUCAAGCAAUAUCUGAAAAAUCUCAAACAAAUCGCAAACAAAUCUCUUACGAGAUUUGAGUCAUUAUUCCCAACAUUAUCAUCACAAAGUAGAAGUAUGAUGAUUGCUUGAAAGCUUGUAUACCUGACAAAUAUGAGAAAGGGCGAACAGGUAUCGUUCUUGGACCGUUUUCUUAGUCCAAGCUUAUCUUGACAUGACUUAACCAAGUUGGAAUAAGUUGAAAUUCCAUUUUGUUAGAAUUCAUAUGUUUUUGUCUCUGCAAGUGGCGUUGAUUGCAGAGAAAAUAUUCAAGCUGAGCAGCCCGAAAAAAGAAAACAAAUCUUAUCCUUGUCAGAUUACAAAAUUAAGAAAUAACAUGCAAAAACCUAGAUAGCUACGGAAGUACUUGAAGAAAAUGAGGCAGAGCAUCCAUUUUGGGAUAUACUUGAAGCUGGCCGGAUGAGUUUUAACACUAGUUCGACCGAUCUCUCCCUUACGAUAAUCUCCAAAUCCUGUUUUUAGAAUUAUAGAGCAAUUUUUUUUCAUAUUACUGUUUAGUAGUAAACAAAUUAAACAUAAAAAGGCCAAAAGUUUUUCAAUUUAUAUAUCUUCAACCAUCCGAUUCUUUUAGUAAUUGCUUCAUAAGAUAAUGGACAAGUUAGAAGAAAUAACUACAUAUACAGAAUAAGAUUUCUUCAAUUGAGAGUUGAAACAGAGAAUAUCAAAAUUAGUAGGGUUAAUGUGUGAUUGAGCCCUUGAACUAUAUUAUUUCUUAUGAUUUUAUACAUAAAAUCUAUAUAUAAAAAUUCGACCUCCAAAAGUAUUAAUAGCGAUAAACUUAAAUACCCCUAUAAAUUUUUAAAUUAACAAAUUCAUCCUUAAAUAUAUAGCUUUUAUUAAUUUAUUUAAAUUUAAUUUAAAUCAACUAAAUUUUCAAAUAGAGUUUAUAUAAAAUUAAACUACUUAGAAUAUUUAAAUUUUAAUUUCAAAAGUGUUACAAGUUAUUGUCUAAAUAUUUUUAGUAAAUAUUUUUAUAAAGUCUAAUAUAAAUAAAUUUUUUUAUUACUAGACUUCUUUUUAUAAUUAGACUUAAAAAGUGUUAAAAAUAAUUGAUUAAAAUACCAUGGGUAAUUUUUUUUUUAUAAAUUUUAAUUUAAAUGACUUUUUUAUUAAUUGACUUUUUUUUUUAUAAGUACAACGAUUUAUCACAUUAAAUGAAAAUAUAAAUAAAAUGAGAUUAAAACUUACUGUGAAUAAGAAUAAACAAUUAUAUAGAUUUUAUUUAUUUAAUUGUUGUACAAACAAUUUUAUAUAUAUAUAUAUAUAGUUUAUAUUGAUAACUAAAUUAAUUAAAAAUACUCAUAUUAAGUAGUUGAAGUGUAUUUGUUUUCUUCUUUUUUAUUUUUACCUUUCAAUUUUUUGUUCCAAUAUGUUAACUAUAUAUGUAUAUUAGUGAUUUUAUUAUUUAUAUGUUUUAUGAGUUGAUCAUUUAAUGAUUGAUAAUAUAAUUAAAUCUUUUUAGUCCCAUGAAAUAAUUCUUUAAUAUAUCAUUUUUACAAUUUAGUUUGACAUCUAUAAUUAAUGUCUCUUUUGUAUUUUUUAUCUCUAGAAUUUUAUAAUUAUUAUUCUUAUGAAUCAAAAUUAAUAUCAAAUCAAAUGCAAAUCAAUUGCAUCAUCUCUACCAACAAUUAACAUUAUGUGAUUCAUUGAACAUUUUAAUUAGACUUUUCACAUUUAGAAUUAGAUGAUUCAGGAGGUUGCACAGCUACUAAUAACUCAAGAUUGGAUAUAUGUCAUAAGAAUUCGAUCCGUUAAAUUGUCAUAUAAAUUAUUCACCUUGAUUGAAACAAUAAUUGACAAUUUUCUCUCAACUCUCAUCUUAACAUGCAUAUAUAUGACUAAUUUAUAUCUUAAGAUUAUUUAAUCUUUCUCAAUUGUAUUAAAUUACUUGCUUUUUUUUUUUUUUUUGCCAUCCAAGUGGUUAAAUAACCUCACAUGAAUUAUUCUAAACAAAAAAUUAUCAAAUGAAGUAAAAUUAAUCGUUUUUAGUAAAUUAUUUUGAAGUGUGACAAAAUUCAUUGGAAUUAUUUUUUUGAAAGUGUUUAUGCCAAAAUUAUAUUCAUUUGUGAACAUUUAUGUUGUUAAUACUGAAAAAUGAUAUCAUUAUAAAUUAUAUAGGUAUUACAUAGCAAGUUUAUUAUUUUUAGAAAUGAAAAUUUCUUAAGAAAACAUGACAAGUACCAAGAUUAGGAAUGUAUUUUAUUUUAGUUUUUAAAAUUAUGUAUUUUAAUAUUUUUAUAUAGUAAAAAUUUAUGUGUAAUAAAAUUUUUAGAUAAAAAAAUUAAACUUUCAGUUGAUAGAACAUAAAACUACAUUCAAUUGAUGGAAGUAUCUAUGGAAGAUUAUUGUAAGCUGAAAAAUUAGACAAAAAAUUGAUAGGAUGUGCAUAACUUUAUUUUUUUCAUAUGACGAAAAAAGUUAAUGCUAUAUGUUGUUCCAAUAUGAAACUCUUUUAUUUGGAGAAAUAUUGUGUACUCUAUUAUUUUCUCUUUUAUAUCAGUUGACGAAUGUUCGCUGUUAUAUCAAAAUUUUUAAAGUUGCCAUAUUAGGUAAUAUUUGUUCAAAAAAAUUGAAAUUCAUCAAGUUAAUUAUCACUUUACAUUUAAAAUAAAAAAUUAUUAUAAAUUAUAAUUUAACUAAACUUAAAAGUGAUUUAAAGGCAUUUAUUAGCAAAAUUCAUUCGAUAAAUCUUUAUUUAAUUAUGCAUUUAGUAUUUCAAUUAUUUUGAAUUUUGAAUUUUUAUAAUUUUGAGUUAGAUUUUAGACUUUUGAUUAGCUCCCAAUUAGGUUGAAUCAAGUUUUAUUAUUUACUUUUAUUCAUAGUAUACUCAAUUAUUCGCUUAUAAACCUGAACAAAUUUAACUUCAUAAUUGUUAUAUACUUCUUUUUGUUUAAAAAACUAGAUUUAUAUCAUUAUAAAUUUAAAUAAAAAAAGUAUAUUCAAUUACUUAUAAUUGUAGUUUCACUUUAGAAAUAAUCUUGAAAUUAAUUAACUAAUUCAACUAUAGAGACAAUAAAAAUUAACCGUUGAAGAUGAAGGGAAAAAACCUUAAAUAAGAAACUUUUAAAUUGUUAUGGAAGAUGAAUAAUUAAUUUUGGAUUUUGAUUGGGUUACUAUUUCAAUUCAAAUUUUGUUUAUAUUCAAUCAUUUUGGGUUUUAAAAAACUACUAAGUUGUUAACUUUUUAAAAUCAAUUGAAAUCAAAUGAAGUUAGUUUAUUUUUACAAUUAUAUGUAUAUUAUUUUUAAUUAAAUUAAAAAAUUAAAAUGAGUAAAAAUUUAAUUUCUAUUCUAUUUUAAUUUUAAAUUAUUUCAAGUUUGAGUUGAUUAAUCAAUGUUAUUUUAGUUAUACUUUUAUAAUAAUGGUAAUAAAUUUCAAAAUAUAAUGAUAACAUAACACAAUAAUAAUUUAAAUGUAAAAGUGAUGGAGAUUCUAUUGAUAAUUUUAGAAAAAAAAAAAAUCUUUAUAUCCAAGUUUUACAGAGAUUAAAUUAUGUAUCUUUUUUUGAGAAAUUUUAAAUUUAUAUUACAAAAAUGUUAAUCUAGAUCAACGUGUUUAUAAUCAUUUAUUUGUUAAUCAAGUUAUUGCUAUAAGAGUUGAGGAAAAUAAUUCAAAACUUGCAAAUGAAAGAGAUCAUAUCAUAAUUCAAACUCAAGCAUGAAGACAACAUAAAAUUAAACAUUAUUUGGGUUAUUAUGUCCCCAUAUAAUAUUCUUUACUCUUUCCAAGUGAAGAAGUUAAUUGCCAUCAAAACAUCAAAAGAGUUAUUUUGAAUAAUAAUAAUAAUAAGAAUGACACAACAAUUAAAAAUAUAUAAUCUUUUGAUUUAUUAGAAGAAAUUUUUUAUGAAAAAUGUGAAAUAUUCUUUACUUUUUCCAAAUUGAGAUGUUGAUUAGCAUCAAAAUAUUAAAAAAAAAAAAAGUUAUUUUGAAUGAUAGUAAUAUGAAUGAAGCAACAAUUAAAAAUAUAUCAUCUUUUUAUUUAAUAGAAGAAAUUUUUUAUAGAGAAUAUGAGAAAAUGAGAAAAUUAGCCACAAUCUCUAUAAAUUUUUUUGUAUGAUUAACUAUGGUUUAAAUAUUAUUUAAAAGAAAUAAAUUAUAUUUAAUGCAUUCUUUUAUUAAUAUUUAAAAGAAGACAACACAUUAAUUAUAUUUUUAAAAUAUAUAUUAUUUUAUUCCGUAUCAUUAAACCAAUCUUUUAAUGCAUAAAAAAAGGGACCAAUCUCUUAAAUGAAGUCGAAGAAAUUAUUGUACUUUUAUGUUAGCAAGGAAGUUUCCAAAGAAAGGGACUUUUUUUUUUUUUUUUUUUUUUUUUUUAAGGAAAUGGGAUUUAGAUAUUCUAAAUUAGCAUAAAUUAUGCGAUAAAAAUAUAAUAUACUAAAAAAUAAAAUUUAUGAUUAUUUUAAAUUUUAAAAUUUGUUAAAACUUUAUUUAAUUAACGAUGAAUUUGAAAUUCUAAACAAAAUAAAGAGGAAACUCAAACCAAUUUUCUUUUUAAUAUAUUAUCUGUAAGACAUAAGUAUAUUGAAUUUUAACUAAAUUUCACAAUUUUUAAUUUUUCAUUUUCGUAAUUUGUAAAUAUACAUAUCAAACCAUAUAUUUAAUCUGUCAAUAAACAUGGCAUAAGUGGAUUUUAUGUUAUAUUUUGACUUAGUCGUGUUGGAAACCCUUUCUUCAAAAAUAAAUAUUUGUUAAUGAAGUCUUGAUUUAAUGAUAAGAAAAAAAAUCUUAAAAUUUGAAGUUUUAAAUUUAAGUCUUUCUAUUUUAAUUGUAUAUUAAUUUAUUAAUUAAUUGUUUAAUAAUUACAACAUAAAAAAAAACUAAGAGAAUUAACACAUCAUAUCACCAAAAUAUUGAUCACCAAAUUAAGGACGAGCUCCUUUUAUUUAUUGAUAUUGAUAUUAUUCCAGAUCAACAUGGUAAAUAUCUCACAUACAUAUAUGAUGAUAUAUAUGUACUAGCAGCGGAUUUUUUUUUUAUUUUAAUAAUUAUAAUAAUGUGAUUGAUAAUUGCUUUUCUUUCAUAAUUAAUUAUUAAAGUGCCUAAGCAAAGGGCCUUUGAUUGUAGCAGUCGAGGUUGUUUCCGUAGCUCACUUUCAAUAUGUCACAAUAUCUCUUAUAGAAUCCGAUUCGAUCCUCAACCUGAGGGUUAGGUCCUUUGCCGCAUUCGAUGCCACCAUUGAUGAUGUUGGUAAUGACCCCAUAUCCAGGGACCCGACCGGCGGCCGUGUCUCCGGCGGAUGGCUUCCACUGACCAGUAAUGACAUCGUGACACGAAGGUUUUGGUGACUGUGGUGUCAUCCAGAACCAAAGAGCUGUCUUGAAAGAAAUGGUCGGGUCCCUUGCCACCGCAUCGGGGUCGUUCAGCAGAUCAACGUUUAUUGCUUUUCCUGCUGGACCAUAGUUGUAGUUGCUGCCAAAGUCAAGGUCAAGGUCAAGUCAAGAUAUAGUAAGGAUUUUCAUUUUUCAACAAGCAAUUUUCCCCCCAUAUUCCCAGCUUUUUAAUCCUAUCAUAUUUUAUUAUUUUAAGGGUAAAAUAUGUUUUUAAAUUCAACGAACUUUCUAUUAAAAAGAUUAAACACACUAUGCUUAUGUUUGUGAUUAGUCAAUAGUUAUGCAUGGAAAAUGAAAACCAAAUGAGCUAUAUAUGCUUGUUGUUUAACAAAAAUGCCUUAAUAGUAAUUUUCUUGGGUCAGAACUCUGAAUCUAGUUAAUUCACUCGAAACAAGUACACUUACAAUGAGAUCUGGAUUGGACCACGGCCAAAAUAUUUUUUACCCGGUGCACAAGGCCAUUGUUGACUUGCAACACAGUAAUCUCCAGGAUUGCCCUGUUCCCGAACGAAGCAAUAUCCCCAUGCGUAUGGACCAUCCGGUGCAGUUGCCCACCCACCUAUACAAGAAUUGUGAAGUACCCCUUUAAUUAUGCCGUCCAUUAACUAUUUGCCAACUAAAUAUUAAUGUCUGCCAACCAUUAACCACGCAUGCAAGACUAAAGUUAUGGAGAUAAUAGAGACAAUCAAGAAGUUAAUUUUUUUUAAUGAGAAAAAUGAACCUGUAGUUUCAUGGGAAGUUUGAGCCAAGAACGCAGCAAUUUCUCUUUUACGAGUAUCAACAUCGCCUGUGGUUCCGAAAGCGCCAAAGGAGUUGGCAGCGGCAAUGAAAGCAUCGUAUGUAUAGAAACCAUUGCCAGGGCAGUUAGCAUCGUUACGAUGCUUUAAUAUCUCAUUGAACAGGUCGCGGCUGAUAAGCGGACUGAUAUCAGCCAAGCCCCUUAAUGCAGAUGCCAAAACGAACAGAAUCAGAGCCAAGAACCUCAUUUUUUUUUUCUGCUUGGCUAGCUACUGAAGUGUUUUACGCGUGGGAUGUGGAGUCCCAUGUGAAGGAUCAGGCUGGUAUUUAUAGAGUGGGUCAGGAGAGAGAGAGAUCCUAACAAAACCUUAUUCUUCUUAAUAUUCUAGAGACGAAGGCGGCCUUUAUCUGUUAGGCUAAAAACCUCCAAUCCAAUCACACCAGCGGAAACGAAAUCAAACAAUAAAAUCAAACAGACAAGAGACAACAAUUUAACGUGGUUCGGUCCAACUGACCUAUAUUUACGGAUGAGAAACAAGAUUCACUAGUUGUAGAGAAUUACAAACUGACAUCAAAUCAUCAACCUCACUCAACAAUCAAUACUCAUAAGAUACUUUCAGUCUCCUCUAGUCCUAUUAAGUAUUCUCAAUCCAAACAAACCCAAACCCAAACCCAAACCCUUGUGCACCCUUUCAACAUAACCAAACACAUAACCAUAUGCUCCCAUACAUCAUACCUAUGUGGACCCUCUCAGUCUCCUUUAGUCCACUCAUAAAUAAACAUACACACCCAUAAGACGUAGAGCCCCAAUAUUUCUAUGGGGUGUCUAUCCCACAAAAUCCUAUAGCUCUCUUACAUCUUUUUCUCAUACCUAACCCUGUAGAGACUUCACGUAUUUAUAACCAUGCAAACUUGCCCAUUAAGAAUCACUCUCCUCUUAGAAUUCUUCUCCUGUAAGUCAAACUUGCCUAUUAAGAAUCCAUUUCCUUUUAGAAUUUUUCUCUUCUCUUGCAAGUCAAACUUACCUAUUAAGAAUCUUUUUUCUCUUAUAAUUAUUCUUUUGCAAGUCUUCUUGUCCAUCAAGCAAUAUCUGAAAAAUCUCAAACAAAUCGCAAACAAAUCUCUUACGAGAUUUGAGUCAUUAUUCCCAACAUUAUCAUCACAAAGUAGAAGUAUGAUGAUUGCUUGAAAGCUUGUAUACCUGACAAAUAUGAGAAAGGGCGAACAGGUAUCGUUCUUGGACCGUUUUCUUAGUCCAAGCUUAUCUUGACAUGACUUAACCAAGUUGGAAUAAGUUGAAAUUCCAUUUUGUUAGAAUUCAUAUGUUUUUGUCUCUGCAAGUGGCGUUGAUUGCAGAGAAAAUAUUCAAGCUGAGCAGCCCGAAAAAAGAAAACAAAUCUUAUCCUUGUCAGAUUACAAAAUUAAGAAAUAACAUGCAAAAACCUAGAUAGCUACGGAAGUACUUGAAGAAAAUGAGGCAGAGCAUCCAUUUUGGGAUAUACUUGAAGCUGGCCGGAUGAGUUUUAACACUAGUUCGACCGAUCUCUCCCUUACGAUAAUCUCCAAAUCCUGUUUUUAGAAUUAUAGAGCAAUUUUUUUCAUAUUACUGUUUAGUAGUAAACAAAUUAAACAUAAAAAGGCCAAAAGUUUUUCAAUUUAUAUAUCUUCAACCAUCCGAUUCUUUUAGUAAUUGCUUCAUAAGAUAAUGGACAAGUUAGAAGAAAUAACUACAUAUACAGAAUAAGAUUUCUUCAAUUGAGAGUUGAAACAGAGAAUAUCAAAAUUAGUAGGGUUAAUGUGUGAUUGAGCCCUUGAACUAUAUUAUUUCUUAUGAUUUUAUACAUAAAAUCUAUAUAUAAAAAUUCGACCUCCAAAAGUAUUAAUAGCGAUAAACUUAAAUACCCCUAUAAAUUUUUAAAUUAACAAAUUCAUCCUUAAAUAUAUAGCUUUUAUUAAUUUAUUUAAAUUUAAUUUAAAUCAACUAAAUUUUCAAAUAGAGUUUAUAUAAAAUUAAACUACUUAGAAUAUUUAAAUUUUAAUUUCAAAAGUGUUACAAGUUAUUGUCUAAAUAUUUUUAGUAAAUAUUUUUAUAAAGUCUAAUAUAAAUAAAUUUUUUUAUUACUAGACUUCUUUUUAUAAUUAGACUUAAAAAGUGUUAAAAAUAAUUGAUUAAAAUACCAUGGGUAAUUUUUUUUUAUAAAUUUUAAUUUAAAUGACUUUUUUAUUAAUUGACUUUUUUUUUUAUAAGUACAACGAUUUAUCACAUUAAAUGAAAAUAUAAAUAAAAUGAGAUUAAAACUUACUGUGAAUAAGAAUAAACAAUUAUAUAGAUUUUAUUUAUUUAAUUGUUGUACAAACAAUUUUAUAUAUAUAUAUAUAUAGUUUAUAUUGAUAACUAAAUUAAUUAAAAAUACUCAUAUUAAGUAGUUGAAGUGUAUUUGUUUUCUUCUUUUUUAUUUUUACCUUUCAAUUUUUUGUUCCAAUAUGUUAACUAUAUAUGUAUAUUAGUGAUUUUAUUAUUUAUAUGUUUUAUGAGUUGAUCAUUUAAUGAUUGAUAAUAUAAUUAAAUCUUUUUAGUCCCAUGAAAUAAUUCUUUAAUAUAUCAUUUUACAAUUUAGUUUGACAUCUAUAAUUAAUGUCUCUUUUGUAUUUUUUAUCUCUAGAAUUUUAUAAUUAUUAUUCUUAUGAAUCAAAAUUAAUAUCAAAUCAAAUGCAAAUCAAUUACAUCAUCUCUACCAACAUUAACAUUAUGUGAUUCAUUGAACAUUUUAAUUAGACUUUUCACAUUUAGAAUUAGAUGAUUCAGGAGGUUGCACAGCUACUAAUAACUCAAGAUUGGAUAUAUGUCAUAAGAAUUCGAUCCGUUAAAUUGUCAUAUAAAUUAUUCACCUUGAUUGAAACAAUAAUUGACAAUUUUCUCUCAACUCUCAUCUUAACAUGCAUAUAUAUGAUUAAUUUAUAUCUCAAGAUUAUUUAAUCUUUCUCAAUUGUAUUAAAUUACUUGCUUUUUUUUUUUUUUUUGCCAUCCAAGUGGUUAAAUAACCUCACAUGAAUUAUUCUAAACAAAAAAUUAUCAAAUGAAGUAAAAUUAAUCGUUUUUAGUAAAUUAUUUUGAAGUGUGACAAAAUUCAUUGGAAUUAUUUUUUGAAAGUGUUUAUGCCAAAAUUAUAUUCAUUUGUGAACAUUUAUGUUGUUAAUACUGAAAAAUGAUAUCAUUAUAAAUUAUAUAGGUAUUACAUAGCAAGUUUAUUAUUUUUAGAAAUGAAAAUUUCUUAAGAAAACAUGACAAGUACCAAGAUUAGGAAUGUAUUUUAUUUUAGUUUUUAAAAUUAUGUAUUUUAAUAUUUUUAUAUAGUAAAAAUUUAUGUGUAAUAAAAUUUUUAGAUAAAAAAAUUAAACUUUCAAUUGAUAGAACAUAAAACUACAUUCAAUUGAUGGAAGUAUCUAUGGAAGAUUAUUGUAAGCUGAAAAUUAGACAAAAAAUUGAUAGGAUGUGCAUAACUUUAUUUUUUUCAUAUGACAAAAAAUGUUAAUGCUACAUGUUGUUUCAAUAUGAAACUCUUUUAUUUGGAUAAAUAUUGUAUACUCCAUUAUUUUCUCUUUUAUAUCAAUUGACGAAUGUUCGCUGUUAUAUCAAAAUUUUUAAAGUUGCCAUAUUAGGUAAUAUUUGUUCAAAAAAAUUGAAAUUCAUCAAGUUAAUUAUCACUUUACAUUUAGAAUAAAAAAUUAUUAUAAAUUAUAAUUUAACUAAACUUAAAAGUGAUUUAAAGGCAUUUAUUAGCAAAAUUCAUUCGAUAAAUCUUUAUUUAAUUAUGCAUUUAGUAUUUCAAUUAUUUUGAAUUUUGAAUUUUUAUAAUUUUGAGUUAGAUUUUAGACUUUUGAUUAGCUCCCAAUUUGGUUGAAUCAAGUUUUAUUAUUUACUUUUAUUCAUAAUGUACUCAAUUAUUCACUUAUAAACCUAAACAAAUUUAACUUCAUAAUUGUUAUAUACUUCUUUUUGUUUAAAAAACUAGAUUUAUAUCAUUAUAAAUUUAAAUAAAAAAAGUAUAUUCAAUUACUUAUAAUUAUAGUUUCACUUUAGAAAUAAUCUUGAAAUUAAUUAACUAAUUCAACCAUAGAGACAAUAAAAAUUAACCGUUGAAGAUGAAGGGAAAAAACCUUAAAUAAGAAACUUUUAAAUUGUCAUGGAAGAUGAAUAAUUAAUUUUGAAUUUUGAUUGGGUUACUAUUUCAAUUCAAAUUUUGUUUAUAUUCAAUCAUUUUGGGUUUUAAAAAACUACUAGGUUGUUAACUUUUUAAAAUCAAUUGAAAUCAAAUGAAGUUAGUUUAUUUUUACAAUUAUAUGUAUAUUAUUUUUAAUUAAAUUAAAAAAUUAAAAUGAGUAAAAAUUUAAUUUCUAUUCUAUUUUAAUUUUAAAUUAUUUCAAGUUUGAGUUGAUUAAUCUAUGUUAUUUUAGUUAUACUUUUAUAAUAAUGGUAAUAAAUUUCAAAAUAUAAUGAUAACAUAACACAAUAAUAAUUUAAAUGUAAAAGUGAUGGAGAUUCCAUUGAUAAUUUUAGAAAAAAAAAUCUUUAUAUCCAAGUUUUACAGAGCUUAAAUGAUGUAUCUUUUUUUGAGAAUUUUUAAAUUUAUAUUACAAAAAUGUUAAUCUAGAUCAACGUGUUUAUAAUCAUUUAUUUGUUAAUCAAGUUAUUGCUAUAUGAGUUGAGGAAAAAAAUUCAAAACUUGCAAAUGAAAGAGAUCAUAUCAUAAUUCAAACUCAAGCAUGAAGACAACAUAGAAUUAAACAUUAUUUGGGUUAUUAUGUCCCGGUAUAAUAUUCUUUACUCUUUCCAAGUGAAGAAGUUAAUUGCCAUCAAAACAUCAAAAGAGUUAUUUUGAAUAAUAAUAAUAAUAAGAAUGACACAACAAUUAAAAAUAUAUAAUCUUUUGAUUUAUUAGAAGAAAUUUUUUAUGAAAAAUGUGAAAUAUUCUUUACUUUUUCCAAAUUGAGAUGUUGAUUAGCACCAAAAUAUUCAAAAAAAAAGUUAUUUUGAAUGAUAGUAAUAUGAAUGAAGCAACAAUUAAAAAUAUACUAUCUUUUCAUUUAAUAGAAGAAAUUUUUUAUAGAGGAUAUGAGAAAAUGAGAAAAUUAUCCACAAUCUCUAUAAAUUUUUUUGUAUGAUUAACUAUGGUUUAAAUAUUAUUUAAAAGAAAUAAAUUAUAUUUAAUGCAUUCUUUUAUUAAUAUUUAAAAGAAGACAACACAUUAAUUAUAUUUUUAAAAUCUAUAUUAUUUUAUUCCGUAUCAUUAAACCAAUCUUUUAAUGCAUAAAAAAAAGGACCAAUCUCUUAAAUGAAGUCGAAGAAAUUAUUGUACUUUUAUGUUAGUAAGGAAGUUUCAAAGAAAGGGACUUUUUUUUUUUAAGGAAAAUGGGAUUUAGAUAUUCUAAAUUAGUAUAAAUUAUGCGAUAAAAAUAUAAUAUACUAAAAAAUAAAAUUUAUGAUUAUUUUUAAAAUUUUAAAAUUUGUUAGAACUUUAUUUAAUUAACGAUGAAUUUGAAUUUUCUAAACAAAAUAAAAAGAAACUCAAACCAAUUUUCUUUUAAUAUAUUAUCUCUAAGACAUAAGUAUAUUGAAUUUUAACUAAAUUUCACAAUAUUUAAUUUUUCAUUAUGGCAAUUUGUAAAUAUACAUAUCAAACCAUAUAUUUAAUCUGCCUAUAAACAUGACAUAAGUGGAUUUUAUGUUAUAUUUUGACUUAGUCGUGUUGGAAACCCUUUCUUCAAAAAUAAAUAUUUGUUAAUGAAGUAUUGAUUUAAUGAUAAGAAAAAAAAUCUUAAAUUUUGAAGUUUUAAAUUUAAGUAUUACUAUUUGAAUUGUAUUUUAAUUUAUUAAUUAAUUAUUUAAUAAUUAUAACUAUAGACAUUCAAUUUGAUCUAGGUUCGGAUCAAUUAGGCCUGAUCCAAAUGGAUAGGCCCAUUUUUAUUUUUUAUUUUUAUUUUUUUCUCUAAAUUCUUAUUAUUUAUUAUUACUAUUAUUAUUUAUUAAUAUACAUAUAUAUUUAUUUAUUUAUUAACAUAUUAUAUAUUUUUUCUUAUUUAUUUUUAUUACUAUUUAUCUAUUAUUAUUAUUAUUAUUAUUUAUUAUGUUAUUUUUAUUUUUAUUUUUGUUUUUGUUUUUCUUUUUAUUCGGCUGGGAUUAGGAUAAAGAUUUAAAGUUCUACAGUGAAUUUGAAAUUCAAUUAGAGUCCAGAUUGGAUUAAAAGAUUGAAUCACAAUCCAAGAGGGAAUUAGGAUUGAUUAGAAUCUCUUCUGAUCAAUCCCUAUAAAUAGGUGUUGGAAUAGAACAAAAAAAGGACAUAGAGAAGAAGCAGAAGCUAAAAAAAGAUUUUGGUGCGUUAAAAUAGCUCUAGGAAUCGGUGGAAAGUUUUUUUAAAUUUUAGGAGAUUUUUUUUUUGGAAAUUUCUGAAAAAUUUCUAGAUUUCGGUUGAAUUUUUUGGCCAAGUUUAAAUUUUUCGAUGAAUUUUUUGGCACCGAUUGAAUUUUUUGGCUAGCUACUCAGUUUUUGGCAACUAUUUCCAAAAAUCGACCAACUUUUCGACGAACUUCCAACAAAAAAUUCAGAUUUUGGUGACAUUUUCCAGAAUUCGAUGAGAUUCAACUAGAGUUUUUUAUUUAUUUAGAGAGAGGAAUGAAGAAAGAAAGAGAAGAGAAAGAGAAAAAAUGAGAGAUUUGCGAAAAAAAACAAAGGUUAUAGCCUUUUAUACUUGCGAAAACGACGUCGUUUUGGCGUUACUGUUUCCAAAAGAUCGCACGUUUUGAAAUCGGGCGAUCCGACCCGAACGUUGACCUGCGUGUGACCCGAGUGCUAGCCCAACCCCGUAGUCGAGCCACCUUUUCUUCCUCAAGCCGAGCCGCUAAGCCGAGCCGUUUCAAGGUGUUUUUUUCAUUAUUUUAUUUUAUUAUUAUUAUUAUUAUUAUUAUUAUUAUUAUUUAUUGAUUAGAUUAGAAUUAUUUAGUAUUUUUAUUUUAUUUUUAUCUUUAUUUUUAUUUUUAUUUUAUUUUUUUCUUUAAAUAAAAUUCAAAAAAAAUAUUUUUAAGGAAAAGUUGAAAGUAUUAAUUUUUUUUGAAAAUAAGUUUUCUAAAAAAAUUUUUGAGAAAAAGUUGAAAGUAUCAAUUUUUCUUGAAAAUAAGUUUUCUAAAAAAUAUUUUUUGAGGAAAAGUUAAAAGUAUCAAUUUUUCUUGUACGAAAGCAAUGCGUUUUUUUUUUUAAGAGAAAAAUAUUUAUAUUUAAAGCUGAAUCAUUUUUUUUUUGUUUUAUUUCUUUUUCUUUUUGUUUUCUCGAAUUUUUUUAAUGUUAAAUAAUCCGAUGAUAAAGCUUCUACAAGUGAAACAAUAGUCUCCUUACAUGCUCUUGAGGUGAGAGAAUUUUUUUAAUUUUUUGCUAAAAGUAUUAGAGUUAAUUGAGAAUAAUUUUCAAUAGUUAAUUACUUGUUAAAUUUUUAAAGCUUAUUGGAUAACACAAAAUUAAGCUGGUACUAUCUUUUGAUGGGCAUUGUGAAAGUGCUAUAACAUUUCUUACACGUAACCGAACUCCCGAACCAUGUUUUGGUUAGUAAACCUGAACCUAUUCUUUUAGGGACCCUUAAACUUAGGUGUUCCUUGAAAGGAUAGAUUCCUUAGGUGACCAAUCGCACAUAGAUAAAAAAGAUUGGUGGCGACUCUUUAAGUUAAUGUCUAGCGAUGGAUCCCCAGAUCUAUACGUUAUGAUAACUUGGCGACUCCACUGGGUACGUCUGAGAGUUAGGCCAGCAAAUAAAUUUAUGUUAUCCAAAAGCCUAAUAAAAUUGAACCUUUUGUAUAGAUUUUUUUAUUCAUUCAUGUUUAUUUACUUUAUUAAUUAUGUCAUUCAUAUGCAUAUGCAUAACAUGAGCUCCAUACUUGAGCUCCGUCCCUCUAUAAGGGAGUAAAGUACCUAUUGUUUUCGUGAGAUUUAAUGCCUCCGUAGUGGCUAGCGAAAUACUUCCACUCAAAUUGAACCUUUUCUGCUUGUAGCCUAUAAUGGGUGAGGAUUAGGCUGCCUUACUAGUCUGUGAUGGACAAUGAUGUAAGGAGCAAUUUGGAAACCUUUAGACUUUAACCUCAAACCACAUAUAGUGAACCUUAAGAGUGCCUAACCUAUAGAUAGAGCCAUCAUUCUUCUCUUUUAGAAUUGAUCAAAAGCAUAGGGUUCAUUCCUCUUUGUGAUGUUUUAAUUUACUUAGUUAUCUAUUUAUUUUUUUUUUUUGGGUAUACUAACAUUUUCUCUCAUUUUUUUGCAUUGGUUCAUGCUCAUAUCAUAAAGUUGCAUAAAGAACAUUUGCUUGAAAGAGGGUCUUCAAAAAAAAUUUUUCAUGGACUCCACAGAAUGACUAGUUUAUUCUUCAUUUGUAUUAGCACCCUGUGAGUCACCCAACGAAGUAAGGAUCCAGUCAGAAAAGAUUCAACUAAAGAUGGAGGAUUGUUUACCAAUCAGAUAUGAUUCUACCUUAUCUCAAGAAACAUCUAUCCUCCUCAAAGAAAUUAAUUUAGAAGAUUUGGUUGAUAUAUGAAAGAAGAUGAGUCCAUCAAGACAAGAGCAGUUUUGCCAGAGACACAAGCAUAUAACACACCUUUUCGUAGUAGUUGUCGACGAUCAACUAAUUAGAGCUGCAGUCUAAUUCUGGGAUCCUGCAUACAAGUGUUUCAUCUUCAAUAAAGUUGAUAUGACACCAACCAUUGAAGAAUAUUCGAUUUUAUUGGGUUUGUACCUUAAGGUUCCUGAUAAGAUAUAUGUCAAAAAACAUAAGUCAAGAUUUCGUAAGGGUUUGGCUCAACUCAUAGGGAUAGACAAAGAAGUUGUGGAUUCUCAUACAAAGAAGAAACAAGAACAAGUUUGCCUACUUUGGAAGUUCUUUCAUGAGUUUCUAGUGCAACAUGCCAAUAAAUAAUGGGGGUUAGAUGUAUUGGCCUUAGCUAUAUAUGAAAUGGUGAAAUUUCCAAAAGUUUUGGGUUAUAUUGAGAUAGCGAUGGUUGACUUCUUCGAGAGUGUGAUCAAUGGUUGUAACCUUUCAAUGGUAAUAUUAGCAGAGACUAUCAGACCCUUCAACAGUAAUUAUGAACCUAUGUUGUAUCAGUAUGGGGAUAAUACAAUGGUCCCAUUUUUAGGUUUAUGGGAGCGACAAAUUAUGCACCACUCCUCGUGAGAAGGCAUUUUGGGGUAAAACAUUUCAUUCUUAUGAUGCAUAGGCUUCAUCAGUUAGAUUUCUCUUACAGUGAGCCAAAAGCAUUUCAGAGGAUGAAUGAGAUAUUAAAGCAUGGAAAAAUCCUCGAAUAGUGAGUCUUAGAUCGUUUACUGAUAAAGUCACUCUAGGGUAUUUGGUUUGGAGAGCAAAACGAAGAUAAAAAAUGGUAUUCACUUAUGAAAGCUUUCAACCACCAAUAAGAGGAAAGCUUGAAGAGACACCAUCAGAAUUAGAGCUUGUGAAAAAAGAGUUGGAGUCUGAAAAUGAUAAGUUAAAGUAAGAAAUCUAAAAGCUUCAAUAACAAAAAGAUCAGUGGAAAGAUAGAGCUGAAAGUCAUGAAGCCAGAGUUUGCAAGAUUGCUAGAGAACGUGAUAUAGCUAUUGAAGACUUAGCAGAGCUACACUAAGAACAUAAAAGGUUAUGUGUGAGAGAAAGGGCCGAAAAGAUAACCAUUGUUGAGCUAACAGAAGAGAAUGCAAGAUUGAAGCAAGAAUAUGCUAAAUUGGAAGAAGAAAGUACCUAAGUACAGACAAAGAAUAACAUGCUGAAUAGCUAUCUAAACAGGCUGAGACAAAAGUUGAAUGAACAAGAAGACCAUAUUGCUGCAUUAGUUAGAGAGCAUAGAGAGUUAUCAUACCAAGUCUAGUGUGGUAAAAAAAAAAACUUAGAAAGAUAGAAAUACAUUGAGCACCUAACGACCCAAAUUUGUAAAGAGGUAUGCAAGGUAAGAGAGAUGGUGAAAGAGACAGAAGCAUUGAAACAAGUGGUGACCCCAGUAAGAGAGCAUGUGCAACGUCUAUUAAACUUCAUUGAAGAAGCUAAGGCCUAGUAUGAAUAGAUCAAACAAUUUUAUAGUUAUAAUUUUAUGAUGAUAAACUCAAUAUAAAUAAAAGUUUUUUUGGAAUAAAUGAAAUCUUUUAGUUAAAUACCAUCUUAAGGUAAAUGUUCUUUGUAUACAUGUAUUUUCAUUCAUUGCAUUCUCACUCAUUACACUUAAGAAAGUAACUAUGAGAUAGUCAUAUAAAUUUGUGAAUUCUAAGAUAUGGUAUUCAAGGUUCAAGGAUAGCUCCAUCUAGCAAGAACCCUAUCCAUCGAUAUAACACAAAAGCCAGAGCCAGAUAAAUGGACAAGAAAAUUCUCAUAGAUUUGAAAAGUUGGAGAAAGCACAAGAAAAGAUUGAGAAUAAGUUGAGCAAGAUUCUAGAUGCUCUCAAUAAGCUGAACAAGGGAAAAAGAAUAGAAAAAAACAUAAGCCAACAAAGCCCUCCAUCACAAAAAGUGGCUGACUUUUUGUAUCCUUUAAGUUUUGGUCCACCUCAAGCCUAGUCUACACAAGAGGUCCCACCACAACACUUCGCAUAUCUUACAUAUUCUAGAAUGCCAUCAGCCUCAAAUCCAGGACAUUACCAUAGCUAUGUAAAUCCUGUCUUUACUAAAAAGGCAGUAAAACUGAUUCUUGAUCUAGAUGACUUACAAAAUAAGGAGAAAGAAAAAGUAAAAGUGACAGAGUCUCAGGAAGAUCUAAAGAUUAGUAUGCUUGAACAAAAGUUACGGGCUGUAGAAGAGAUUAGAUUUUAUGGUUCUGUUGAUGCUGCUGGACUGUGCUUAGUCUCGGAUGUAGUCAUUCCAGCAAAGUUUAAAGUACCAAAAUUUAAAAAAUAUGAUGGUAUGAAGUACCCCAAAACUCAUAUCAUCAUGUGUUGCCUGAAGAUGGCAGCCUAUGCCCGUAAUGAAAAACUAUUAAUGCAUGUUUUUUAAGAUAGCCUUACCGACUCUGCUGCCAGGUGGUAUAUCCAUAUGAACAGAACCCGCAUUCAUUCUUGGAGCGAUAUGGCUCAUGACUUCAUCAGUCAAUAUCGACAUAUUAUCGAUCUGGCUCUUGAUCGUUUAUCUUUAUAGAACUUGAAGGAAAAGGUAAAUAAGUCUUUUAAAGAAUACGCCCAGAGAUGGAGAGAUGUAGCUUCUCAAGUAUAACCUCCUCUGACUAAGAAAGAGACUACAGUGUUGUUUGUCAGCACUUUGAAAUCUUCAUAUUAUAAGAAGAUGAUAAGGAAUGCAAUAAAAAAUUUUAUUGAUACGAUAAUUUCGAGAGAAAUUAUGAAGAGUGCCAUCAAGAAUAGCAAGUUGGAAGGAGGUGAAGCAUCCAACAAAAGAAUCCCAAAGAAGAAAGAGAUUGAAGCUCAGGCUAUGAAUUUUGGUAUACAGUAAUUUGGGGGUUAUCAACCUUACUCACUACAAGGAUACCUUUCAUAUUACCCUACUAUAAAUAACACUUCUCUUUACCCAUACCAACCAUUUGUACAAUUAUCUUAUCUCUAAACAUAUCAACCUCCUCUUAGGCCUCAAAAUACCACAUAUAGUCCUAGCAUUCAGCCUACCCUAAGACCCCAAACUCUUCCAACUAGCCCAAUUAGUGGUUCACGAGAGUAACGAACUACUCACGAAAAAUUUGUAUUUGACCUAAUCUCAAUGACCUAAACAGAAUUAUAUCGUGAGUUUUAUAACAGUCAUCUGAUUACUCCAAGUAAAUUAGAGCCCCUCAAGCCACCUUAUCCUAAGUGAUAUGAUCCCACAGCCUAUUGUGACUAUCACUAUGAGAUUGUUGGUCACUCCACUAAAAAUUACAUCGUCUUGAAAUAUAAAGUACAAUGGUUGAUCAAUGAUGAAAUGAUUAGUUUUGAUAUAACAGGGGUGACUACACCAAAUGUUAGUGAUAAUCUUUUACCUAAUCAUAAUGUCAAUGUUUUGAGUAAAGAACAUGAGUGCCAUUUGAAGAAAAAACGGUAGACAUUAAGACACCUUUCAGUCAACUGUUUGAUAUUUUAUGAAAAGCUGACAUGAUACAACCAGUAAGUUCACACAGCUAUCAUGGAGUAUAUAUAACCGACACUAGUUGUAAAUAUCAUAGUGGGAAAAUAGGUCACUUUAUUAAAACUUGUGAGCAGUUUCACUAAGAGGUGCAAAAGCUCUUGGAUUCAUAUCAGAUGGAGUUACACGAAAGAGGAAAAGAUUUAAAAAAUGUUGAAGUGUCCAUGACUGAUAAGCCUGCAAAGCUGUUUUCAAAGCCAGUGAUAAUUCAUUGUAAGAACAAGCCAAAGUCAAUCAUAGACAAACUCAUUCCCAGGUCGAUAACUUUUAAAGUUCUGACUCCCUUCCUAUAUAAGGAUGACAAAGUUGUACCCUAGAAAUAUGGUUACGAUACAGUAGUUCAGAGGCAAGAAGGGGAUAUCUCUAAAGUUGAUGCCUUCAAUAUAACUGGUGUAAGAGGCAUUACCCGAAGUGAAAGGUGCUACACUCCAAAAAUAUUAAAGAAGGCUAGAAGAGAGAAAGCCAAAGAAAGAGAAGAACGAAAUAACUCUAAAGUAAAACUUGAGAAAGAUCGCCCGAAGCUAGUGUAAAAAAAAAAGCUUAUGAAUUCUUGAAGUUAGUAAAAUAUAGUGAGUAUUCAAUUGUUGAACUGUUGAACAAAAUGCCAGUAUGAAUCUCAUUACUAUCACUAUUUUUAAAUUCAGAGCCACACUGAAAUGCCCUGCUGAAAGUAUUAAAACAGGCAUAUGUGUCACAUAAUAUAUCUGUUAAAUAUGUGAACCAUCUGGCUAAAAAUCUAGUCAUGUCAAAUUAUAUUUUAUUCAGUGAUGAUGAGAUUCUUUUAGAGGAAAAAGAAAAUACCAAGGCUUUGCAUAUCACGAUCAAGUACAAGAGCCAUAUCAUAACCAAGGUCCUUAUUGAUAAUGGCUCCGUUAUCAACAUCAUGCCUAUGUCAACUUGGCAAGGUUACGCAUUGACUACUCUCAUAUGAAAGACAGUCAGAUGAUCGUGAGAGCUUUUAAAAGGACUAGAAAAGAAGUCUUGAGAGAUAUCGAAAUGUCUUUACAAAUUGGGCCGUGCACUUUUAAUGUGAAGUUUCAAGUGAUGGAUAUCUCUUCCUCUUACAACUGUCUACUGGGAAGGUCAUGGAUUCAUAUGACAGGCACUGUGCCCUCUACCUUGCACCAAAAGAUCAAGUUUAAUGUAGAAGGUCAAUUGGUAGUCGUAGUUGAAGAAGAAGACAUGCUAGUGACCCAACCGUCGAAUGCUCCGUAUGUAAAGGCUAUCGAAGAAGCAGUAGAAUACUCAUAUCGAUCUUUUGAAUUAGUUAAUUCUGUAAGUAAAAGACUUAAAAAUCAAUCUUUUUCAAGAAUAGUGAUGAGCUAAGUCAUCAAUAAGAGUUGGUAUCCAAGAUUAGGGUUAGGCAAGAACUUGCAAGGAAUAAAAGAACCCCCGACAGUGGUAGAUAAUAGUGAAAGAUUAGGCCUAGGCUAUGAAGUAGCAGAAUGAGAGAUCAAGAGAAGGCCAGCAGGUAAAAUAGCAAGAGUAAUGGUUAUUCCACACCUAUAUGAGACUUUUAAACUUGUAGGAUUCAUGCACCCAGAUACAAAAAAAAACAUAGAAAAAGCUUUUGCCCAGUUAACCAUUCAUGCUAUCGAAGAUAAAGUGGGGCUUAAUCAAGAAGGGUGGGUCCAUCUUUGUCCGCCAGAUUAUGAGCUGAACAAUUGGAGUGCCAUUGAAGUACCUUUGACCUUUGAAACUAAUUCAAUGUAAUUGUAACAUCCCAAUAGCUAUUGCCCAAGGCAUUGGGAUGAUCUUUUUUUUUUUUGGGUCAUUUAUCGUUUAUUAUUCUAAUAAAGAUUAGGAAGGAUACAUUUUCAUUUAUUUUUUCUUGUGUCUUCAUUAUUGCCACUUUUCCAAAUACAUCUUACUAACAUAUCCCAUUUCAUCCAAUUUCAAAUCCUUAAAUGAACAUGAAGAUAAUUAUGAUAACAAUCAAGAGGUUAGUUUUGAGAAUUCAAUUAACAUUGAUGAACUUGACAAUGAAGAGAAUUCUGAAGAAUAUGUUAUGCCUCCGGACCUAAUGAGAUUGAUUGAACAAGAAAAUAAGUCAAUUGAGCCUCAUCAGGAGAUAGUUGACUUAGUAAAUCUGAAAGAUAAAAAGAAUAAGAAAGAUGUCAGAAUUGGCACUUCACUUUCAUCAGAAGAUAGACAACGUUUAGUAGAUCUAUUUCAAGAAUUCAUAGAUGUAUUUACUUGGUCUUAUCAGGAUAUGCCAGGGCUGAGCACGGAGAUAGUAGAGCACAGAUUACCCCUAAAGUCAGAAUAUAAGCCGGUUCAGUAGAAAUUGAGGUGAAUGAAGCUUGAAAUACUACUAAAGAUAAAAAAAUAAGUGAAAAAAUAGUUUGAUGCAGGUUUUCUACAAGUGGCUAAGUAUCCAGAAUGGAUAGCCAAUAUAGUAUCAAUUUUUAAGAAAGAUAAAAAGGUACAAAUGUGUGUGGACUAUCAUGAUUUGAAUAGAGCUAGUCCAAAAGAUAACUUUCUUUUAUCUCAUAUUGACACACUGGUAGAUAACAUGGCUAGGCAUUUAAUUUUCUCCUUAUGGAUGGUUUCUCAAGAUAUAAUCAGAUAAAAAUGGUUACAGAUGAUAUGAAAAAGACCACUUUCGUGACUAUGUAAAAAUUUUUUUAUUACAAAGUCAUGUCUUUUGGGUUAAAGAAUGUUGGGGUAACAUAUCAAAGGGCUAUGGUAACACUCUUCUAUGACAUGAUGCAUAAAGAGAUUGAAGUGUAUAUAGACAAUAUGAUUGUAAAAUCUUACAAGAAUGAAAAUCAUAUCACCAGCCUCAAAAAGUUAUUUGAGAGAUUGAAAAGAUUCCAGCUUAAGUUAAACCCAGUCAAGUGCAUCUUUGAGGUAAAAUCAGAGAAGUUACUAGGCUUCAUGGUUAGUGAAAGAGGAAUUGAAGUCGAUCCAAACAAUGUACGACCAUUCAAAAUUUGUUACCUCCAAGUACACCAAAGAAAGUUCGAAGUUUUUUGGGAAGAUUGAAUUACAUUUCUCGAUUUAUCUUUUAGCUUACCUAUAAAUGUGAUCCCAUAUUUAAUCUUCUUCGCAAGAAUAAUCCUGAAAAAUGAGAUGAGGAAUGUCAAGUGGCUUUUGAUAAAAUUAAAUAAUACUUGUCAAAUCCUCCAGUGUUGGUGUCACCUGUUCUAAGAAAACCUUUAAUUUUAUACUUGACAGUGUGUGAGAAUUCAAUGAGAUGUGUGAUGGGGCAACAAGAUUAGUCUAGCUGAAAGGAAAGAGCUAUUUACUAUAUGAGUAAAAAAUUCACAGAAUAUGAAUCCAAGUAUUUCUCAUUAGAGAAAAUAUGUUGUGCAUUAGCGUGGACUGUCAAAAGACUCAAACAGUAUAUGCUUUAUCAUACCACAUGGCUCAUAGCAAAAUUGAAUCUAAUUAAAUACAUCUUCGAGAAACUUUAUUUGUCUGAAAAAAUUGCUAGAUGACAAGUAAUGCUCUCGAAAUAUGAUAUUAUAUAUGUAGCCAAAAGGUAAUAAAAAAAGGCGUUAUAGCAGAGUUUCUUGCAGAUCGUGCUAUUGAAGAAUAUGAAUCAAUAAGGUUAAAAUUUCUUGAUGAAGAUUUAAUGAUCAUUUCUCAACUGAAGAAGGGGAAACAUGAAGAAAAGUGUUGGAGAAUGUAUUUUGAUGGAGCUGCUAAUACCUUGAGACAUGAAAUUAGGGUGAUUCUGAUCUCUCCAAAAGAACAAUACUGCCUUGUAACAGCAAGGUUAAAUUUUAAUUGAACAAAUAACAUUGCUGAAUAUGAGGUAUGUGUCAUGGGCUUACAAAUUGCUAUAGAUAGAAGAGUAAAAGUAUUAAAAGUGUUUGGAGACUCAGCUCUAGUUAUAUGUUAGUUGAAAGAGGAAUGAGAGAUGAGAGAUUCAAAACUCGUUUCAUAUCAUAAGUAUAUUUUAGAAUUGAUAAAAAUAAUUUGAAGAUAUCUAAUUUGAUCAUUUACCUCGAUAAGAGAAUCUGAUUGUCGAUGCCUUGGCUACUCUGGUCGUAAUAAUUUGAAUUAAUGAUAAUACUGACAUUCAGCCCAUUAUGUUAGAUGUUAAGAAUAUGCCAGCUCAUUGCUCUAAUGUAGAAGAAGAAGAUAGAAAGCCCUACUAUUAUGAUAUCUUAUAGUAUAUUAAAGAUCAGUAAUACCCAGUUCAAGCAAUAAAAAAUGAUAAAAGAGUCAUCCGAAGAUUGGUUAUGAGUUUUUUCUUGGAUGGGGGUGUUCUGUACAAAAAAACCAUGAUCAAGUAUUACUAAAAUGCGUAAGUAAGACUGAAGCAAGAAAAAUCAUUGAAGAGGUACAUGAUGGAAUAUGUGAGGCACAUACCAGUGGAUACAUGAUGAUAAGAUAGAUCAUGAGAGCAAGACUAGUUGACAAUGGAGACUGAUUGCAUUAAUUAUGCUCGUAAGUGCCAUAAAUGCUAGAUAUAUGCUGAUAAGAUCUAUGCCCUGCCAUUUACUUUACAUGUUAUGGUACCAUCUUAGCCAUUCUCAAUAUGGGACAUAGAUGUCAUCAGUCCUAUCACGCCAAAGGCUUUUAAUGGGCAUAGAUUUAUUUUUGUGAUGAUAGAUUACUUCACAAAAUAGGUGGAGGUAGCAUCAUAUGCAAAUGUAACACGAUCUGUGAUUUGUAAGUUCAUAAAGGGAAAGAUUAUCUGUAGAUAUGGACUUUCGAAAAGAAUUAUUUUAGAUAAUGUCAAGAAUCUAAAUAGUAAGAUGAUGCAAGAAAUAUGUGCUCAAUACAAGAUCAAGCAUCAUAACUCGGUAUCAUACCAUCCGAAAAUGAAUGGAGCAGUGAAGGCAGCCAAUAAGAACAUAAAAAGAAUUCUUGAAAAGAUGACCGAGACUUAUAAAGAUUGACAUGAGAAGUUAGAUUGGAAGAAGUUGAAUGGAUUCAAGAACGCUAUGAAUAGUUAAAUUUCAUAGAAAAAAAGAGAUUAACUGUAUUAUGCCAUGGUCAGCCAUAUCAAAAAAGAAUGAUGAGGGCUCAUGACAAAAAGAUUUGACCUCAUUGCUUUCGAGAAAGAGAAUUGAUCUUGAAGAGAAUCCUCCCGACCCAGCACAGUAAUAGAGAAAAAGAGACUCUGAAUUGAGAAGGACCAUAUGUGAUAAACAGGUUUUCUCGGUUGGAGUGCUGAUACUAACUAAAAUAGAUGAAAAUGAUUUAUCUCAUCCUAUAAAUUUUGAUGCUGUGAAGAAGUAUUAUGUUUGAAAAAAAAAAGAGAAAAAAUGAAAUGAAAGAAAAAAAUGAAAAAAAGAAAAAAAAAGUGAAUGAAAAAGGAGGACUCAAGGCGAAAAUCCUAAAAUGGCGAUUUGAGUCAUAAGAGGUUUAUCUAAGUUGAAAAGCUAAAAAGGCAGCUUAGAUAAAGAGAAUACAACAUCAAAUUUAAAAAUUUGUUGGCAUGGAGACUAGCAAAUUCGAAGGAGCUCCAAGUUGUUAAGUGCAUUAGAUGGUUCAAUUUUCAGAAAAAUCUUGAAAUGUGUUAUCAUAAUUGUCCGAUUGUUCAUUUUUGGGCUUUGUUUCCGCAUACUUAUCCUUGUAAUUCUUUUUUGGCCAAAAUUUGCCAACAUUUUGCUAAUAAAAUAUAUUCUAUUUCACUCUUUGUGUACCUCUUCUGUUAAUUGUUUCCCAACCAUUCUUAUUCUUUUCUUUUAAUACCCUACAAUGGAAAAAAUGUGCAAAUGCAUUCUUACUUUUUGAGUUUGAAAUAAUGAUUGAUAAAUGAAUAAUGGCAUGAAAAAUUUUUACAUUACAUUGAAGAAGUCAAGAGUGAUAAAGGCAGAAUGAAGAUGUUUAGUUCCUAAUAAGGACAUUGAAUUUGGAAAGAGAUUUCUUACAGGAAAAAUGUGAGAAUGAGUGGAAGAGAUGAUUGAGAGCUACAAUAGCUCGAUCUUAGAAAAGCAGCGUAAUUUGGUCUUUGAAGAAUCAAGGUUUGGGGCCCAAGAAAAGAGCUUGAGAAACUUGAGUACCAUAUUUGAAUAAAAAUUAAUUAGCCAACAUUUGCAUAGCAUGCAUUAAAUUUCACAUGCAUUGCAUAGCAUAUACUACAUUCAAAAAAAUAUAGUGCAUAAAUUCAAGAAGCAGGGGUAUUCCAACAUCCCACAUAGAGAAGAUAGAUGUGAAGACAUUUUCAAAUUUGAGAAAAAGCUUGUCAGGUAAGUUUCUAAUCCUUGAAAUAGGAUGUCUCGUGGUAUUAGGGUUGAUUUGUAAGACCUUUGGGCAUAAUCUUCUGAAAUUCCUUCAAACACGAUUUUCAACUCCUUUGGAUAUGAUUGUCAAGAAACAAUUUAUUUUUCGAAGUUGUAAUGCCUCUGUUUAGAGGAAUAAUCUAUUUUCUGAAGUUGUUGAGCCUCUGCUUAGAGGAGCUUUAUUUAUUUUUUCAAAGUCGUUGAGCCCUUGCUCUCUGUUUAGAGGAGCUUUAUUUAUUUUUCUAAAAUCAUUGAGCCUCUAUUUAGAGGAGCUUUGUUUAUUUUUCUAAAAUCGUUGAGCCUCUGAUUAAAGAAGCCUUUUAUUUUUUAAAAGUCGUUAAGCCUUUGUUUAUAGGAGCUUUGUUUACUUUUCAAAAGUCGUUGAGCCUCUGUUUAGAGGAGCAAUUUAUUUUUUGAAGUUGUAAUGCCUCUGUUUAGAGGAGCAAUCUAUUUUUUGAAGUCGUUGAGCCUCUGUUUAGAGGAGUUUUAUUUAUUUUUCUGAAAUUGUUGAGCCUCUAUUUAGAGGAGCUUUAUUUAAUUUUUCAAAGUCGUUAAGCCUCUGCUUAGAGGAGCUUUAUUUAUUUUUCUAAAAUUGUUGACCUCUGUUUAGAAGAGCUUUGUUUAUUUUUCUGAAAUUGCUCAGCCUCUGAUUAGAGGAGCUUUGUUUAUAUUUUUCAAAGUUGUUGAGCCUUUGCUUAAAGGAGCUUUGAUCAAAUUUUAACAAGAAAAAAAAUGAAAAAAGAAAAGGCGAGUGGAGUCUUGAAUGGGUGUCUACGUCUUUACGCAAUUUCUGUUUCACAAAAAAUAUGCAAAGAGGGGCAGCUGUAGACACCUAAUUUGGUCCAUGCCUGGAUCAAUUGGGCCUAGUCCAAAUAGGUAGGGCCAUUUUUAUUUUUUAUUUUUUUUCUUAAAAAUUUUAUUAUUUAUUAAUAUACAUAUAUAUAUUUAUUAACAUAUAUUAUAUAUAUUUUUCUUAUUUAUUUUUAUUACUAUUUAUCUAUUAUUAUUAUUAUUUAUCUAUUAUUAUUAUUAUUUAUCUAUUAUAUUAUUUUAAUUUUUAUUUUUCUUUUUUCUUCUUAUUCGACUGGGAUUAGGAUAAAGAUUUAGAGUUCUACCGUAAAUUUGGGAUUCAAUCAAAGUCCAAAUUAGAUUCAAGGAUUGAAUCCCAAUCCAAGAGGGAACUGAGAUUGAUCAGAAAUUUUUCUGAUCAAUCCUUAUAAAUAGGUGCUAGAAUAGAACAGAAAAGGGACACACAGAGAAGAAACAGAAGCUAAAAAAGGGUUUUGGUGCGUUAGAACAACUUUAGGAAUCGGUGAGAAGUUUUUUUGAAUUUUAGGCAAUUUUUUUUUGGAAAUUUCUAGAAAAUUUCCAGAUUUCAGUUGAAUUUUCUGGCCAAGUUUAAAUUUUUCGGUGAAUUUUUUAGCACCGGUUGAAUUUCGGGCCAACUACCUAGUUUUCUGGCAACUAUUUUCAGAAACCGAUCAACUUUUCGACGAACUUUCAACGAAAAACCCAGAUUUUGAUGACAUUUUCCAGAAUCCGAUGAUAUUCAUCCGGAGUUCUUCGUCUAUUUAGAGAGAGGGAAGAGGAAAAUAAGGGAAGAGAGAGAGAAAAAAUGAGAGAUCUACUGAAAAACAGAGGUUAUAGCCUUUUAUACUUGCUGAAAAAUGACAUCGUUUUGGCGUUACUGUUCCUAAAGGAUCCGCGCGUUUUGAAAUCGGACGACUCGACCCGAGCGCUGACCCGUUUGUGACCCGAGUGCUAGUCGACCCUUGGAGCCAAGCCGUUCCAAGGUUGAUUUUUUUCAUUUUAUUUAUUUAUUUAUUUAUUAUUAUUAUUUAUUGAUUAAAUUAAAAUUAUUUAGUAUUUCUUAUUUUAUUUUAUUCUAUUUUUAUCUUUAUUUUUAUUUUUAUUUUAUUUAUUUUCUUUAAAUAAAAUUUUAAAAAAAUAGUUUUAAGGAAAAGUUGAAAGUAUCAAUUUUCCUUGAAAAUAAGUCUACAAAAAAAUAUAUUUUUAAGAAAAAAUUGAAAGUAUCAAUUUUUCUUGACAAUAAGUUUUUCUAAAAAAUAUUUUUGAGAAAAAGUUAAAAAUAUCAAUUUUCCUUAAAAAUAAGUUUUCUAAAAAAUAUUUUUGAGAACAAGUUAAAAGUAUCAAUUUUUCUUGAAAAUAAGUUUUCUAAAAAAUAUUUUUUGAAAAAAAAUUGAAAGUAUCAAUUUUUCUUGUACAAAAGCAAUGAGUUUUUUUUUUGAAAAGAAAAAGAUUUAUACUUAAAGCUGAAUCAUUUUUUUUCUUUUUUUGUUUUAUUUCUUUUCCUUUUUGUUUUUUUGAAUUUUCUUUAAUGUUAAAUAAUCCGACGAUAUAGCUUCUGUAAGUGAAACAAUAGUCUCAUUGUAUACUUUUGAGAUGAGAGAAUUUUUUUAAUUUUCUGCUAAAAGUAUUAGAGUCAAUUGAGAAUAAUUUCUAAUAGUUAAUUACUUGAUAAAUUUUUAAGGCUUAUUAGAUAACACAAAAUUAAGUUGGUACCAUCUUUCGAUGGGCGUUGUGAGGGUGCUAUAACCUUCUUUACACGUAACCGAACUCCUAAACCUUGUUCUGGUUAGUAUACCUGAACUUAUAUUUUUAGGGACCCUUAAGCUUAGGUGUUCCUAUAAAGGAUAAAUUCUUUAAGUGACCAAUCGCACCUACAUAAAAAAGAUCGACUACGACUCUUUAAGUAAAUAUCUAACGAUGUAUCCUUAGAUCUAUACGUUAUGAUAAUAACAUUAAAAAAAUUAAGAGAAUUAACACAUCAUACCAUCAAAAUAUUGAUCACCAAAUUAAGGACGAGCUCCUUUUAUUUAUUGAUAUUGAUAUUAUUCCAGAUCAACAAGGUAAAUAUCUCACAUACAUAUAUGAUGAUAUAUAUGUACUAGCAGCAGAUUUUUUUUUUAUUUUAAUAAUUAUAAUAAUGUGAUUGAUAAUUGCUUUUCUUUCAUAAUUAAUUAUUAAAGUGCCUAAGCAAAGGGCCUUUGAUUGUAGCAGUCGAGGUUGUUUCCGUAGCUCACUUUCAAUAUGUCACAAUAUCUCCUAUAGAAUCCGAUGCGAUCCUCAACCUGAGGGUUAGGUCCUUUGCCGCAUUCGAUGCCACCAUUGAUGAUGUUGGUAAUGACCCCAUAUCCAGGGACCCGACCGGCGGCCGUGUCUUCGGCGGAUGGCUUCCACUGACCACUAAUGACAUCGUGACACGAAGGUUUUGGUGACUGUGGUGUCAUCCAGAACCAAAGAGCUGUCUUGAAAGAAAUGGUCGGGUCCCUUGCCACCGCAUCGGGGUCGUUCAGCAGAUCAACGUUUAUUGCAUUUCCUGCUGGACCAUAGUUGUA